rnacentral:lncRNA from 1 species
GGCGGCGGGGGGGUUUAAGCUAAGCACCCGAACCAAUCGCAUAAACCCCGCAACGAUAAGGGCUCUCGCCCAAUUUUCCUUUUUUUUUCCCCCUCUCCCCGUCCUUUUCUCCUUCUCCAUUUCCCUUUUUUUUUUCCAUCUUUUUCCCCACAACAAAUUACUUUUCCUUCGAUUCAAGGUCCUCUUCAUUAUCGCUUUAUCCCUUUUCCGAUUUUUUUGUUUGUUUGUAUUUGUUAUUUAGCUGUGGAUUCUUAAGUUUCUUUUGUACUUGCUUGGUAGAAAUGUUCUAAACGAUGUUCGGUUCUUCAUCUUUUGAUUUACUUAGGAAUUUUAAUUCAUUUGUGCUCAACCAAAUCAUGUAAUUUAAUCAAGCAUUUCUCCUCUUUUUUUUUUUUUGUCACAAUGUGUAGGUACUUCUCUUAGAUGGAACUAGAAGCAAUUCAACACAGAAAUUUCAGCUACUGAGAUCUCAGUGUUUUCUUCUUCUUUUUUUUUUUUGGGUAAUUCACCAAAAAUGGCUACAAAUAUUCCAUGUUUCACCCAAUUCAACCACUUCCUUGGAUCUGGAGGGAAUUGGAUUUGUAGAAAUAGCUCAUCCGUAGCCCUAAUCGAAGGCGGGAAUUGCCAGGCUAUUGCGCCUCACUAUCCUCGCAUUCGAUGCUCGUCGAGCUCUCACAACAUCAACUCAUUUCACAACAAGGACCCCUUCUUAAACCUCCACCCCGAAGUAUCCUUGCUCCGAGGGGAGCAGCGCGAGAAGAUGUUCAAUCCUCGGAAGGAUAGCUCGGUAAGUAAUCCGGCCGAGAGCGUAAGGGAUUCGUCCGAGAAUGGCGACUACAAUGAGGCCAAGAUAAAAGUUAUCGGUGUCGGAGGCGGGGGGUCGAAUGCGGUGAAUAGGAUGAUUGAGAGUGCGAUGAAGGGCGUGGAGUUUUGGAUAGUGAAUACGGAUAUCCAGGCGAUGAAGAUGUCCCCCGUGUAUCCCGAACACCGAUUGCAAAUAGGGCAGGAGCUGACUAGAGGUCUUGGGGCCGGGGGGAACCCGGAUAUUGGCAUGAAUGCCGCUAAAGAAAGCAAGCAGGCGAUCGAGGAGGCUGUUUAUGGCGCCGAUAUGGUCUUUGUAACGGUAAAUUCAUUACUCUUCGAUGUCUAUAUGAAAAUGUAGUUUUAUUUAUGAUGUUCGUCGUUAGUUAUUUAUCACUGAGAUUAUUCUUCGUUGCUGUUGUCUGUAAUAUCAUUUAUAUCUGUUGACAUAGCGAUGUUUAUCAUUAUUCGCAUUGUUAUCGAUAUACCAUUUCUGAUAACAAUGUAUGGCUAUUUCUGACUGUAUGCAGUAAUGUACUACUAUUUCCAAUGCUACUAUUACCUCAAGAUAACAUGAUGUUUCCAAAAGCUGCUGCUUUAUGGAGUAGAGAGACAAUUCUAGAAGCCAGGCCAAUAAGGCACUAACUCAUCGCAUUUUGAUUAGAAUAAUCAAUUCUGACAACCUUACGGUUUUAUUCAUUAUUCGAAUUGUGACGGCUUCGCAGUCUGGAAUGGGUGGAGGAACUGGAACCGGCGGUGCUCCUGUAAUUGCUGGAAUUGCCAAGUCUCUAGGUAUACUGACGGUGGGUAUUGUCACAACACCAUUCUCAUUUGAGGGCCGAAGAAGGGCGGUUCAGGCCCAGGAAGGGAUAGCUGCUUUGCGAAAUAGCGUCGAUACACUCAUUGUCAUCCCUAAUGACAAGCUGUUGACAGCUGUCUCUCCUAAUACUCCUGUUACAGAAGCAUUUAACAUGGCCGAUGACAUUCUUCGACAGGGCGUUCGUGGCAUCUCUGAUAUAAUUACGGUAUCAUAUUUCAAAUCACUGCCCCUAAUGUGUCCAUUUAACUAAUUUUGUUAACUAGCCAUUUAGUUUAUCUAGAGUUAUAACCAUACGUGUCUAAUCAUUUAUUUGCGGUCCAUACAGUAACUCCACGGGCGUUAGUUAGUGGUUUUCAUUGUUUGCAGGUACCUGGUUUGGUUAAUGUUGACUUUGCUGAUGUGCGAGCCAUCAUGGAAAAUGCAGGUUCUUCUUUAAUGGGUAUUGGAACAGCAACAGGUACCUCAAUAAUGCAUAAUUAUUUUCCUCUUUUUAUGGGUUUUUAUUAGAAGAAUAAUACUUGAGUACCAACUUAUUUGAGAAUGUGGUGAUUUGCUAAUCCUUGAAUAUUGUCAAUUUCAACUUUUGCCUGCUAAUAUAUGCCUGUUUUGUAAACACAACCCCACUGUGAAGUAAAUGAACACGGACGUGUUAAGCAAGUUAAUAGACAGGUUUGUUGCUUAAGAUACAUAAAAGGGAUUCACUGUUACUGCUAUGUGAAGCUUGUUAAUUGUGCUGUCAAUCAUCUUUCUUUGUCAUUAGCCAUGAAAAGGAAAACAAAGCUUGGUAGCCUACGUAUUGCCUACCAAAGUGUAUAACAACAUAAUUCUAGUAUUAUGUCAUGUAGCUAGCUAUAAAGUUCACCUCUGCUGAAUAAACGGAAUAUUAUUUAGAGGUGCAUUCCACUAGAGAUUAAUGUAGUACCUAAACAUAACUUUGCAGGUAAGACAAGGGCAAGAGAUGCUGCGUUAAAUGCCAUCCAGUCGCCUUUACUGGAUAUUGGAAUUGAACGAGCUACAGGAAUUGUGUGGAACAUUACUGGAGGUAGUGACUUGACUUUGUAUGAGGUAUGCUGCAUUUGUUGCUUCACUCGCCUGUGUACAAAAUGUUUCUAUUCCAAUGCUGUAUAUCUCUUCUAAUUCGCUCUGGUAGGAUACUAAUGAUGGUUUGUGCAUAGUUUCCGUUGAAAUAGAGACAUCAUUUUAUGCCUAUGUAUCCAAUAUGCAUAAAGAGCGGAUUAGAGAGCUGUUUUUGUAUCUUCUUGAUCGUUUUCACUCUUCUCCUCCUUGUUGGUGCUUAAAUUAUCAUGCGCAGAAAUUUGAAGUCUUGUGAAAAAGAAAAAACCAAUCUGUUGUGCAUGUUAAGAGGAGAUAUAAGAAAAUUCUUAGCAAUCUAUGGUUUUUUUUCCUCGAAAAAGAAAAGAAAAAAUAAUAAUUAGCAUCUUCCUUUGGCUACAGUGGGCGAAGAAAUGGGUACAAUAGUCUAAAUUACCUUCCAUUCCUAUAAAACAUGUAACAAAGUGCCCUUGUUUUGAUAUUGCUGUUCUGUUUCUCCAAUAUUUAAAUUUGUGGUCUGUAACUUCCUAAUAACAGUUUUUUUCUUUUUUUUCUUUUCCCUGGGCCUGUGUAAGACGCUUCUGUUAGCAUACUUUCUUGUUUCUAUGGUUGUGUAAUUCGUCUAUUUCUUGAUUAUUUUCAGGUAAAUGCUGCAGCAGAAAUAAUUUAUGACCUUGUCGAUCCAAGUGCUAAUCUAAUAUUUGGAGCUGUGAUCGACCCAUCACUCAGUGGUCAAGUAAGUUGACAAUCUCCUAAAUCAUACUGCGCUUAUUUGGGAACUGCAACGAACUUUAUCACUAAAUGGGAGAAAGGCCUUACAGUAUCAAUUUGUAGUAGGAUAUAAAUUUAGGAACCUAAUUGAAAGUAUAACAAUGUAAAAUAUCACUGAUCACCGAGUUUAGCGGUAGGAUAAAAACUUGACUAUUCAUCUCAAUGCAGGUGAGCAUAACUCUCAUUGCUACCGGCUUCAAACGCCAAGACGAAUUGGAAGGCCGAACCGCAAAGGUAUAUAUGCCUUCGCUUGUUGUCUGCUAACUUAAUUUUAGCGUCAGUCCUGUUUAGUAAAUCACGUCUCUUAACAAACGGCUCGCAGGGAGAUAAUAUCGGGAUAAACCGGCGGCCAUCUUCAUCUUCCACUGAAGAGAACUUUGUGGAGAUCCCCGAGUUUCUGCGGCGAAAGGGACCUUCUCGCUUUCCACGAGUUUGAUAGGUUUAUGUUCUUGUAUGUAUUUGUUUCUUCUUGUUCUGUCCCAGCUCUUGUAAUACAAUAUAAUCUUCUCUCAUACCUUUCCCUGUAAUUUUUCCUCUUUUUUAUCCAUAUAAAAUAGACACAGUGCUUGUUGUCGAGGUUAUGAACAAGUUCGAGUACCACCAAGCUGUUUCUGAUGCAGUUGUUUCUGAUAAUGAAACAUUCUGUGGAUGAAAAUGAUUAUUCCAACCAGUCAUGUAGCUUUCAUUCCGCACCUCAUUCAACUAAAAUUGCAUACAUUGUAGAGAUUGCUUUUCUAUGACAUAUUGCAUGAUUAACCUUGUGAAUUAAUUUGUUCAUACUUGCAUGCAUGGCACGUUAUUCUUGUAUGCAUUGAUGUAUAUACAAGGCCUAAAGGUUUUUGAUUGGUUGAUGAAUGCUAUAUAACAUAUAACAUGCCAUGAUCUGCCAAUACAUUAAUAACAUUAUUAGUAUCUAUGUACGGUUUUGUAAUUCGUUGAUGCAGGAUUAUCUUGUUAUUUAUCAUUAAAUUGUUCAUCUUGUCUUAUUUACUAUAUGCCCUCGCUGAGUUGGACAAUGUAGGUCGAUCUUGUCGUUUAUUAUUAAACUGUUUAUCAUGAUUCUAACAUAUUCGGUCGCUACGUACACAGAUUUUGUGACACUGACUUAUUGGCACUGGCAUGUAGUGUAUGAGAAGUAAAUAAAGAAUUAAUUUAGUGGUACAGAGACUUUUCCAUCUUGGAGCAGAAUAUUCUGAUUAUCCAAACAUAUAAUUUGAACACCAAUAAAGACAGUGUCAGGUUGCUGACGUGUAGUCGUUCCCGUCAAUUAUUGCCUGGUCUGUAGCCGGUCUAUUAAACUCCAAAUGCUAUAAAUUCAAACUAUAUUACUUAUUAAAAUACUAGCACAACUAAUUAAAAAAAAAGCUUUAAAUCGUUACAUAUGAUUUUACAACACCUAAAAAUGUGCCUAAACAAAGUAUAAUUUUUAAUAUCUUUAGUAUAACGAACAGUAAUUGUUUUAGCCCACUUAAAAUUUGUAUUCAAAUUUCAAAAUUUCUCCCAUCCUACGUAAAUUCCACCAAUGACAGUGGGCCUUGCGCAAAUACGAAGGCGAAGAUCCUCUGCAUCAUAUGACGUACAAUAAUUAAUGCUAAAAUAAUAAUAUAAUAAUAUCCUUCUUACGUUCUCUCGACCAGUUUAAUUUUUUAAAUUUAAUAAGCAAAACUAACCAAUUACGUUUCUGGAAAAUUGGUGUCGUACCAAUUUUCUACAACCCGAUUUGCAGCGAACGUGCUGAACCGUCAAGCAAGUGGCGGGGUGGGCCAUGAGAACGGCGGGCCCGGGUCCAAACUGCCUAUAAAUAUCCAACCCUUCCUCACUCUCCUCACUCACUUUUCCGUUUCUGUUGUGCUUUGGAGCGAGCGCGCGACGACGAUGGCUCUCGCUGCUCGUUUCUUCCUCUUCUCCUCCCCUCGCUCUCUCUCCUCCUCCGCUUCCGCUUCGCUCCCCCCUCUCCCCCGCUCCCCCACUCCCCACCUAGGGUUAGUGCUUCGCCGCUCCCGAUCCGACCGCCUCGAUCUCCCCGACGCCUCUCUCUUCUCCCACGGAUCAAUCUCCCAUGGCGGCGGAUCACUCCCUCGGAAGAUCCGCUGGUAAGUGAUCGUUCAUUUAUUUCGUUCAUGAGCUCGGAUUUGUGUUUCUACGGUUUCUUCUCAAGCAUUUGUGAUCGAAUGAGGUGUGAUUGCUUCGUUCUCUCUGGUUUCUUUACUUCGUUGCUCUUUGGUGUAUGGAGACUCUUCGAUCGGUGGUUCUGAUUCUAUUCUUGUUCGAUUGGGUUAUUGAUCGCUUAGAAUAAGUUUUCUUAUCUGGUUACUGUGGAGUUAGGCCUUUUCAUGUCCUUUGGCAUGCUUCUUCGUUACUAAUUGUGCACUUGUCAUCCGAAGGUCGUCUCGAUUUGAAGAAUUUAUUUGAUUAUAUUGAUUUUAUUGAUUUUAUCUCUUGAUUGUUUUACGGUUGAAGGUUUUCAGAGAUGUUUACAUUCUUUGUUUCAUCGAGAACUUCUGUUUGUGUACGAGAGAUUUCUCUAGCUGGUUGAGAUAACGUUUUGCGGACGAUCGGAGUGCUACAUCGCAUUUUAUGUGUUAAUUAUUGCAUAUAUUGCAUGUCGGCAGUUCAAUUAGUGUUCCUGACUAUAUCUUGAGAGAAUAAUGCAGGAUUGGUCCUCAAUUUUCUGGCAAUUCGGCAGAAACAUUGGGAUCUUCCUCCUCGGUAUGCAAUGGAUCGUCAGUAUUAUCUGUUGUUUGUUUGUCAGAGCAAUUUAUUUCCUCAUGGUUAGAUUAGUUGAACUACUAGAUCAUAAUUAUCAUCUUGGCUAUUUUUUUUCCUACUAUAUAGGAUCAGCUAGAGAAGAACAACUCAAACUCGAACGUUCUAUAGAAGAGUUGCUUGAUUUACACUAUUCGGUCAACCUGUUUUUGACCCUAUAGGAAAUUGUAUGCUGCUUUAGUUUUUGAAUUUUAUCAUAUAUCCAAAGACAGCCUAUGGUGUCACUGUUUGAAUUUGCACAAUUAAUGUUCCUAAGAAACUAAAGAAGAUCUGAAACACAUACUAACAAUUGAAACACAUGAUUGUAUGAUAAGUAUCACUUCCAAUGGCCGGUGAUGUUCAUGUAAGUGUUUAUUUAGUACUGACUGGAUAUAUUACCGAUUGGAUAGCCAUAGAUAUGAUAUAAAGUUAUGGAUUGAUCUUGUAUUUGCUGUUUAUACUUGUGGAGAAAUCAUUAGUUGAAAUCUAGAGAUAACUUUGAGAAAACUUGUGAAGUGAAUAGUUCAGUUGGUUUUAAUGGUUAAACGGAACCAGUUCUAAUUAGUAACGCUUGCUUGUAUGUCCUCACUUUAUCUAGCCAUUUUAGCAGCAUCCUUUAGUAGUAGUAGUUCGGAUUUUUAUAUGGAAAGGGUAAAAUGAUUCCUGUUUUCUAAUGUUACAUUCUCUCAGGAACCUGACGAGGAUACUGAUUCAGUUCCAAUGCCGAUAGUUUUGAUCGAUCAAGAUUCAGAUCCUGAUGCAACAAUCGUUCAGCUCAGUUUUGGGGACCGUCUAGGGGCACUACUUGAUACGGUGAAGUUGCUCUUUGUCAUUUGUUUCUAGCUGAAGAAACUUGAUAUAGUGAAGUUACUCUUUGUCAUUUGUUUCUAGCUGAAGAUACUUGAUAUGGUGAGGUUACUCUUUGUCAUUUUUCUCUAGCUGAAGAUACUUGACACGGUGAAGUUACUCUUUGUCAUUUUUCUCUAGCUGAAGAGAUACCAAUUUGUUCGGUUAUUUUUCUUCAACUGCAUUCCAAAUAUUUGUCCUACUACAGAAGGAAAAUAUGUAUUAUUUUCCAUUUGACAUUAGAAGAAUCUUUUGUAGCAUAUUUAGGAAAUGCAACUUCUGAAUACCUUUUUUCAAUCUUCAAUAUGUUGUUGUUCAAUUGAUUAGGACAAUGUGAAAUUCUUAGAUCUUGGUUCCCUGGUCUUCAGAUGAAAGCACUCACAGACCUGGGACUUCAUGUGACCAAGGGAUCUGUGACAGCUAAUGAAUUUGUUGUGCGGACAAAGUUUUUUAUCACGCAGAUGUGAGUCUUUAUACAUUUUUUUUUUUGCUUUUUUUCGUUAACUUAUCUUAAUAAUGUUUAUUCUUCAUUUGAAAUGUUCUAAAGAAAGUUGGAUCUGUCGUACCUUUAUUAGUUUGCUUUGUAUAUACCAUUUGAUUUCUUAAAAUUCAUGUGGUGAGUGUGCCUAGAAUCGUCAGUAUAAAAGAGUUCUUACUACACACAUAAAAAUGGCUGUGUAAUGUGGAUGUAAUCUUUAAUGUUAUAUCCCAUAGGAUUAUUACUUUAGAGAAUCUGAACGUAAGUAUGUCAACAUUCCAGGGGGCGAAAGAUUGUAGAUCCUGACAUAUUGGAAAGAAUUCGGCUUACCAUAAUCAGCAACCUGCUGAAGUAUCAUCCAGUACGCUUUUAGUGACGCUGCUGGUUCUUUGAAAAGCUAUAUGUAGGUUGCAUUACUUUUAAUUGUCUGUAUUUUCAUCUAUCUGCAGGAAUCCAGUGAGAAGUUGGCAAUGGGUGAAAUAUUCGGAAUAAAGCCUCCAGUGAAGGUAAUUAGUUCUAAUAAUUCAGCAUUUCUCUCAUUUUCGUUAGUUUAACUAUACUGAUGGAAAGCUGCUAUUAUGUCUGUGAGAUCGUAUCCUAUGUUCAGGAGUUUUGUUCUGUUCUAGCUUUAAGCAAAAAUAGAUGAUUAUUACUUAUCUCUUGUUCAUUUGGUAGAAAAACUGAGAGUUAACACUGGGUAAUGAUUUCUGGACAUUUGGCCCUAAAAUUGGAUGUUUACAUGAUAUUCUCUUUUAAUCUCUUGAUUGGCAGCUUGAUGUUGAACUUGCAACACACAUACAUCUGGAACAUGAUGGACCCAAAAGAAGGUUUGUUACAUUUCACACUUCUAUUCUUUUAGCUAUGCAUUUAUGAUCAUAAAGUCUAAUAUGGGUACAGACACCACUAUAUUUAGUUGUUUGAGAAUGAGCUAUGACCAGAAGUUCUUGAUUACUUUCAUAUGAACUAUUUCAAAUUUCCUUUCACUUCUUUAGCUGUAAGUUGUCAUGGUAGUCAUCUGAAUCUGCUCUAAGGUUGGAAUGCCAUUCUAUACCAGCAACCGGUUAUGUUAGUAAAGUUAAAUCCUCUAGAUAACGUCGUGGGCAUUUAGUUCUACAUACCUGCAGAUUUCAGUGUGUAUCUUAUCAAGCUAUUUCAUAUUCACUUAUAGCAUAUUUCUCGACUGCUUUAUCACACUAUGACAUGUGUCAUUUACUCGGGCAGUCGCUAGCGUUUGAAGUCAUAAAAAUAGGGAACUGUGUGGAGGCCUAAAUGAAACAUGAAAACAGAGGCGAAUGUCAAAUUCAUACUUAGAUUUCAUAAUGUAUAUCAUUUACAGCGAGGAAAAAGCUGGUUUUUCCUCAUGUCAAGGCAACUUUGAAACACAGAAAGUCAUGUGUUUUCUUUUUUUUUUUUUCAUAGGCCGAAGGAAGUAAUUAUUUUGCUUUGCAUGUAUUCUCCAGCUUGCUUUACAUUGAGACAGCUGAUCGACCUGGACUACUGCUCGAGAUCAUCAAAGUUAUAACAGAUGUAAAUUUAGAUGUGGAAUCAGCUGAAAUAGACACCGAAGUAUGUUUGCUUCUGAUUUCUCUGUUCAAAAACAAGGAUAUUCCACAAGCAUUUUUUGUCAUUCUUAAUUAUUGUAAUUUGCAGGGUCUCAUAGCUAAGGAGAAGUUCCACGUGAGCUACAGAGGCGCGGCAUUGACCGACCCCUUAUCUCAGGUCAGGUUAUCUUAUCUUAUAACUAGUUCUUUCAACUUCGUUUUUACAGGGAAUAAUUAUAUGGUUUCCAUUAUGAGAGAGUUGAUGUUGCUAUGAUUACUGUAGACAACAUCUAAAACAUCUCUUAAGUUUGAUCAAGAAGUGGACAAUUUGAGCUUUACAUUUUUUUUUUUUCUUGGCAUAAUUUUAAGGGGCUUGUGUUGUCUCAGCUGCUGGUUAACUGUCUCCGCUAUUACCUCCGAAGGCCUGAAACGGAUGAAGGCAGCUACUGACACAGUACCUCAGCAAUUCAGUAACACAAAUGGAAGGAUCCAAGAAUUUUAAGCAGGUCAACUUCCAUUCUUCCCUUAAAGAAACUGAUUUCUGUAACUCCUUACCACGUAUCUCACCUUCUUACUUUUUACAACAUGUGUUCGAUUCGGAUUCUGAUCUUACCUAGUAACUCUCAAUUGUUGGACAUUGUUUACACCGAUUUAGGAGCUAGCUGAAAGGCUUUUGCCAUUGGCUGCUUCUGGAUGUAACAAUUGUUACAUUUCAAUUCAAUUGUUGGUAAAUGAUGGGCCAUAGUUUUAAUUCGCCUCCAUUUGAAGUAUUGUUUGUAAGUCUGAGCAAACAGAGCGUUAGAAUAGCCUCUUCUGUUUGUUGGAGUUGGGUGGGCCAUCGGCAAAACGGAAACCUUAACCUCUGCAUUCCCUGCGUAGAAUGUGGAGUGGGCACUUGUGCCUAUUUGAAUUUGUUGAGCUAUUAGGCAAGAUACUGCCUUGCCUAUUUGAAUUUGUUGAGCUAUUAGGCCAGAUACUGCCUAAGAUCUGUUCCUACAGGAAACCCAAGUUAGUGCUAUUGCCAAUUGGUUGCCGAUCUCUGAUUCAUGCCUAUAGUUAUCGAUCUAAGAUUAUAGUGUGUUGAUUGAGAAAGAGCUUAAAAGUUUCAAUAGCUAUAACCUGUUACUUUUGUUAGAAUUCUGUUUUUUGCUUGUGUAGUUUUGUAUAUUCCCAGGAGGAGGUAGUCCAAGUGAAGAUGUAGGGAGCACUUUAUCAACCUGUUGUUUAAUAGUUAAUUAAAUGCGUAGUCCAAAGGAAAAGAACCUUCUAAUUUUCAUAAAUAACAAAAACUUCAUUUUUUUAAGAUCCUUAGUUAUAAGUAGGUAGAAGCAGAAUAUUUUACAAUGAUAUUUUUGCUUGGCGAAAAACAUGAAAUAGAGGCUAACUGUGACCACAACUUCAGAAUCAUAUCUGUCUAGUAGUUGCAUCAAACUCUUCUAGCUUAGUUAUUGGGAGUGGAGUAGAAUAGAGCGUAGAGCAUCUCAUUCCAAGCAUCUGGGACUCCCGGCAAGCACCAGUGGCAACAAUCGGAAACCAGGAAUUCGGUAUUGCUAUGCUGCUCUUGCCCGCCAUGAGCCCUCGUGGCGUAGAUUGAAGGAUGACCGUCCUGACGGAGAGCCGCCAUGCUCGUGAUUUCUUGGAGGUACACUGGAAAGAUCAUCUUCUUCAACACUUCCCUCAGCACCACCAGCUGCCCCGCAACACGCUGGCUGUGGCCCAAGUACGCCAGGGGUUCCCUCUGCUUGUAGCAUUGCCACCCGUUUAUCCUAUUUAACCCAGCCACCCCAUUAAUGACUUUAGUUACUACUCAAUAGUCGAUCAGAUUCUAUAUGACGAGUGUCUUGUACCUGUUGUGGCGCGGCGACGAGCUUCGGAAGAUGACCGUAGCUCUUCGAGGGUCUAAAUUCAGGUCCACCCACUUAGCCCAAGUUGUUAGACCCUUCUCAUACGCAACCAUAGGGUUCAGAUUUGUGAAUACCCUUCCCCCUUCCUCGUAAAAAUCCCACCUUCCAAAGCCCAGAAAAUUUACUAUUGUGUUAUUUUGUUAUUCAUUAUCUACGGCCUCCUUCAUUGAUAGAUUCAUCAAGGAAAACAGAAAAGAGAGUAGAAAAAAUAAUAAUAAUAAAUUAGGUGAGACUAGAAAUCUUAUUACGAGCUCCAUUUUCCGGAGUGAGUCCACCAGUGAGCAGAAUCGAACACAAGGACAUCGACCCCACGCCAGUGCUUUGCGUUCUCUUCAAUGCAAUCCAAGCACAGGACUCUCUUGUUCUCCUCUUCUUCCUUCAAUUCGACUAAAAGAGGAGCCCAUGAGAACUCAAUGGACGCCUCAAAAUCCUGCAAUCAACCCACACAUCAUUUGUUACCUCUGUUUCGAGAUGUAAUUACCAGAUCGAGCUAGUAGUAAACUUAUACCUUGGCCUGGAAUGCUAUGGUAGAUGGGCCAUUGGAAUAAACCAUUUUUCUCUCAUUGGGUAUUACUGCUUCUACUAAGCAAACAAGGGAUUCCCAUUGAUUCCUCAUUAUAGAAUCCCCCACCAGCAUCACCCUUUUCCCUCUGAUUCUGUUGAGGAAAUCCAGUGCAUUGAACCUAAAGAUACGCACCACUUUGGUUAGCCGAGUCGCACCACAUGAUUUUGAGCUUCCUAGGCACUAACGAGAAGUCCUUUCUUUUUGCUAUAAAAAUAAAAGAAUUUAGUUUAGAGCUUUUGCUUUUAAGAUUCAGAACCUUAUUUUUUAACUCCCAACCGCCGCCAAAAAGUUCAAGACUUUUCUUAAUGAUAAAGUUAUUAAUAUAUAGAAUCACCCAUGUUUCCCAUGUUUCCGUAGUAAAAAUUAUUUAUCCAAUUAUUAAUUUUUUAUUUCUCAAAUACUUGACUAUCGAAGAGAAGCUGCUCUUGAAACUAGGCCAAAUAGUUCCGCCGCCGUGGAACUAUGUUUACCUCGGAAUAGAGCAGUGCUGUGGCUUCCACCGCCACCUCUGGUAGUCGGAAUCCGGCCGGCCAUUGAGCUGACAGCUGAAUUGAGUACUAAGGUAGGGGCAGCUGGCUUCAUAGAGAGGAUACGACGCGUCGAACACCCACUCACCAAUCGACAGAUCGCAGUCGGUCGCAAACGGCGGCUGGUUCUGAUUAAUCUUUUCGAUCGCGUCCUCUUUCUCUCCUCCCCACCUGAAAUUGUCCAUGGUUAGGUGAUCAGAUAGAGAAGCUCUUGCCAUUGUGAAGAACACAUUGGUGAGGCAUAAGAAGAAGAAUAGUGAUGUUGGGUGGAGGUUUAAUUCUCUAGCCAUUAACUGGCAAUGGACUGAAUUAGAUUGGAUGUGGGGUGCAAGUGAGCUUUGUUUAGAUGAAUCGUAAGCUUGUUUUAUAUAGUUGGAGGAUGCAUGGUUACUGCUUUUGUUCAUUAUAACUGAUGAGGCGCCGAAACUUGCGGGGAGACGUGGAGUUUUUCUUUUUGCUCAUCCCCGUGAUGCAAAGGAAUUGAGAUGUCUUGUUUUCUUAUUGAGUGUGUUGGCCACGAGCACACCAACAUGGCUGGGUAGAGAGAGAGAGAGAGAGAGAGAGAGAGAGAGAAAAGAAGAAGCACUUUUUGUUGGGCAUAGAGAAUUUUUCUGCACCCAUCAAUCAUUGUUUACUAAAUAUUUGCAGUCCUAGGAAACGUUCUGGUAGAACAAAACAGUACGAAUCUGACCAACUUUACCAUAUGAACACUAACCACUGUUUAUCCCUGAUUCCUAGAACAGCUUCCCUACUGGAAACUUGCAACCCAUGUACCCGAAAAGCUAUACCAAAAUUUAUUAUCAAAAUUUUCAAAUAAAAAAAAAUGUAUUUGUUAUAAGGGGUAAAAUGAAAGUGUUCAAUUUAAGCAAUAAUUUACUACAAUUUUUGCCUGGCUCCUGAGUUUUUAUGCACUCUCGAAUCACAAACCAGCCCAUUUCCUCCUUCCAACCUCUCUCUCUCCCUCUAUCUCUGUUCUUUUGAACCUUCAAUAAUGUAGUUAGUCAUCGAAUUAAAUGCCAUAUUGAACACAAUUAAGAUAUCUGGAAUUACAAACAACAAACUCAGAAGUCGUAAAUCUUAUUUGCUUAAUAAAUAUGUUUGCGAAUAACAGUCAAAUCAAGCGCUUGGUCACAAAUUUAGAUUUUAAGCAUCUGAGGGCUCCUCUCCAAGAAAAAGUGCCUUGAGGAUUUUAUCAGUCCAUUCUUCGAUUAACAUGAACAAAUGCCCGCCUUUGCUGUUCUCGUGAUAUCGUAUCCAAGGAAGCUUCUUUGAUAUGUAGCGCUGCAGCUCGGCCGGUAUCAUCCUAUCUUCUCGCCCUUGCCACAGGUGAACAGAUCCCUCAUUGUUCGGAAAUGGGUUGGUUAUAUUCAUCGGGUCGAACUCCCAUGUGCCAAAUGCUAUCAGAUAGUCUCGGUGGAUCGAUUCGUAUUCGCCUUGUUGUCUCGCUUUGUUCUGGAACAAAAACAUGGUAAGUUGCAACUGUCAUUCAUCUCUCCUUCUCAAGGAAAUGUUAGUUUGCAUUUAUACGAGCAUCGCAAUGUUUAGGUGAUCAAGACCCUAAGUGUGAUUUUGGUCGGUGACGCUUACCUCGGUGGUAAGCAUUGGCAUCGCCAUUAUCUUCUGAAAGAUCUCCUUAUCUUGCUUGCUGAAUAUGUCAGGGUGCAUUGUGGCUGAAGCUGAUGCGGGAAACCACUUUUGGGUCAUCCACCAAUGGAAGAGGAAAGGUAUGUGAUGUGCAACCCAUAGAGCCCUCUGUUCUUGCGCAAGUAUUUUGCCGAACCCCUCUUUAGCUAGCUCGGUAGGGAAAGAUGGCCACCAGUAGUUGAUCACCGGCACCACCAGUGCUGCUCCAGCAAGCCUACAUUCCGAAUGUUCGCGAGUUUAAAAUCGAUCUCUCUAACAUGUUUUCUAGGAAAGAAUGUGUUCGGACUUCUAAAGUUAAAAAUUCUUUCCAUCAGGUUACAUGGCAGCAGAAACAGAAGCAGUUUCAGAUUAGAAUAAAAGUUUCUAGCAUCUAGAUAUAGAACCAUAUAGUUGGCUUCCUAGCCUGUGUCGGCAGGCAAACUGAAACCUCUUAGCCACCAUUGGAAAUUCUAAAUUCUACUUUUUUUGACCCAGAAGCUUAUUUCAACGUACUGCCGUAGAAACUCUGAACGUCUUAUUUACCAAAUUUCCAGGUGUUGCUUUCUAAAGCAAGAGAGGCUUUUCUCAUUAGCUUGUCGGCCGAACAGGCCUUCAGUAUCAGAAAUAAAUUUCUUUUCCGAGAGAUCGAAAAUAGCGAGCUGUAAGAUACAAGCUGUUUGUUUCUCACCUGUGAGGUAUGUAAUUUAAGCACCCCCACACUGGGUGACCUCCCAUGGACACUCCCAUCACAUAGAACUUGGACCCAAUCUCCAAUUGAUCCGCGAGCUCUUCUAUAUCCAUAGCAUCACUCCUCACGCUUCGCUUCGGAUUCGGAUCACUCUCCCCAUAUCCUGGCCUAUCGAAUUGAAGAAAAUAUAUCCCCAGAUCCUCCACAAGCUUCUGUUAAACACAACAAUGUUCUAAUGUUAGUUAGUAGAGAAAACAAUUAAAGCCUUAACAAAAUAAUUAGGAACUUAAAAAAAAAAAAACAAAAGAAAUCUCGAAUUUUUACUUGAGAUGCAGGUAUAAGAAUGUCUUUGGUAGCAUCAAGUCCAUGAACAACUAUGAGUUUAAACUUGGCUUUCUCCUUGGGCACUCCUGCUUCUUUGUAAGCUAGGUAUCUUCCAUCUCUGAGCCUGAUCCUGGGGGAUCUAACAGGGGGGCCAUUUUGCGAACCGCAAAGUGUCGGAGGGGGAGGUCGCAAAAUCGCGUGAUAACCCCAGGCUAGUGAAAUGAUCAGCAGGGCCAACAAUAUUCCUGGGAAUCGCAUAGUCUCUCAAUCUAAGUUAAUUUUGAGUAGAUAUUACUCAUUAGGAUCAGUAGUUGCUUUAUACAUGCAUUAUUGCUAGCAGGUACUUCAAUAGUUUUCUAUACAUGGAUUAUUGGUAGCAGGUAGUAGUGCUACUUUUCUUUUUUCCUUUUCAGUUAGGGCCAUCUCUUUCAGAGUUUUCUGGUUGUGGAUGCAAAUAGGGCAGAUCUGAAGGCGAGAGGGUCCCCCACCUCCCGUCAUCUCUUUUUUUUCUUUGGCAAGUCGGAACGAAUUUUGGGCGGAUUUGAUUCUAUCAUAUUUUUUUGUUUUUACUUAUUGUUUCAUUCGAACUGGUUGGAGCGGAUGCGAAUUUUUAGCAGACUAUAAUGGAGCAAAGGAAGAAAUGGGUCUCAUGCUUCCUACUCUAUUUCUUAGCGAAUUGUUGUGGCAGAUUUAGAACAAAUUAUUUUUUUUCUUAUUUUUAGCUUCUAUUUUUCAUUCUAUUCGGAACGGAUCGGGACAGAAUCUCCAUCAACCCGGAUCCAUUAGCAUUCCUAUUUCUAAUAUAGUGUUAGGUUCGAAGAUUUAUAUUUCGAGAAUAGUGAAAAACAUCUCAAUAAAUAAUAUCCAUAUAUUGCUAUCUUCAGAAUAAAGAGUUUUUUUUUCUUUUUUUUUUAGAGAAAGAUAACAAGUUAUUCGUUUCGUUCGCUUUUUAUAAAUUAACUUAGCUAGAAAUAUAAAGUAAAUAAACUUUAAAUACAGAAUCUCAAAUAUCAUUACUUAAUUUUUUUUAAUCAAAAGACUUAUUUUUUCUACCCAACUCUCAGCGGAGGUAGUUGGUGACUCCGAUGUGACUGGUACAACAACAACUUCUCAACUUACUAACUGUUAUGGUCCCUGUACCAGUAGUACAUUAAUUACUUUUCAACUUCUGACCGUCCUUAGCGUAAGUGGUAAAAAAUUUAAUGAUUGGUAUAUUAGGUCCCAAAUUCGAAUCCUAGUUAAUUUAUAUUUCUAACUAAAUUUAUUUUUAAAUAAAAUAAACGAAGCGGGUAGCAUACUACCUAUUUUUUUAAAAAAAAGAAAUUACUUUUCGACUUACUAGGAGUUAGGUGGAGGUGGAGACUUAAGGACUUGGAAACAUUGGCAAUUUAAUGAGGUUCUUUUGUAAGGUUUCCAAUUGUUCAGGCUUUUGAUAUUGUCCAAGGUUCUUUGUCAUUUUCUAUUGAUGGUUCUCUUCUGUAAGGAGAUGCCUAUUGCCCAACAACCAGAAGUUGAAUUUUCAUUUUAUUUUUUUUAUUUUAACCCCACAACUUGUUCUAUUCCACAUGUGACAUGUGCCAUUAUCAUUUAGAACACCUUUCCCAGCACGUUAUCUUCGAUUGAAGUCAAUAUAAGUGUGAGCAAUUAAAAAUUUAUUAACUAGUACAUACAAUAAAUAUUGUACAUCUAUUUUUACAAGAAUAUGCUAAGCUUUUAGAAAUAAAACUUGGCAUAACUAGAUAUUCUAGGAGAGGUAAAAAUAAGUGUAAAAUUGUAUUUGGUGUAAAAUUCUUGUAUUCUUGAGAAUAAUUAAAAUGAUUGGUAUUUAUUUCUAGGAGAGUGGGAUUAAUAAUAAUAAAAAAAAUUUGUAGUUAAUAAAAGGUUGAAGACUAUAUAUUUUAGCACAUUAUAUAUUUAAUAUAUUUAUUACUUUAUAUAAUAUUAUAUUAUAUAUUAUAUUAUAUGGUGUAUUACAGGAUAAUAUAUCAUAUAAAAAUUGUAGUGUAAUAUGAUAAUAGUAGCAGCUGCAGUUGUAAUAAUAGUAGUAGUAAUAAUAACAAUAAUUAUCAUUUUAUAUUACUUUAAUUAUUUUUAAUAAGGUAAGCAUAAAUAGAAGAUUAGUCCUAUUUUUCUAAAAUGAUGGCGAAGUUAAUUUUUAUUGUUUCCGGUUUGUUCCUAACCAAACAUAGCAUGUUGUUUUAUAAAAAAGUUGGGCAAUUUAAUUUAAUCGGUGUAAUGAUCUAGACUAAUAUCAAUAUUAGAUGAAUAAUAUUUACUAUCUACUUUUAAGUUUUAACUUUUAGUUGAAAUACUAUUUCACCUGUCACCACUAAACCUAAGGCAUUCAAGGGCCAAAAAAUAGAAAAUACUAUUUCUUUAGUAUCAAAAAUAUUUCCUCAUCUCCCUUUAAAUCACAUUGGAAACUCAAAUAGUUUUGGGGGUACAACAUUACUCUUCCAAGGGUGUAUAUACAUUCAUAGGACAUCUUGAGUAGGAAGACGCUUAAUUGUUGGGUUAGUAAUAUCAAAUUCACUUAUUAGUCUAGUUAUUUUUAUUUUGGAUAUGGUUUAACAAUUCAUGUAAUGAGCUAAUUAGUAAUUGAUUUGGACUUUAGUUUACUUAUUUGGUUUUUUUUUUUUUUUUUUAGAAAAAGAUAGCACGCUACCGACUUUAUUCAUUGAAUUAGUUUGGUAGGAUUCUCUUUUUUUGAGAUAGAGGAGAGAGGUGCAGCUAGUGAGGGUUGGAGAAGGAGCUCUUUUGUUCUUCUUGCUUGAUUCAGAACUUCUAAGGUUGAUUGGAGGUAUUCUAAGAGGUAUUUUGAAGCGGAUUUCACAGAUUCGGAAGGUGUUUCGAUGAAGGUGUAGCAAGAAAGGUUCAUUAUGGUACAAUGUGUUCUUGAGAUCAAUAUAAUAUAUGUCAAACUAAUUAUUAAAGCUGAAGUUAAACUCAGACAAAAAUCCAGUGGUCCAAGGCAUAAAUAGGGGGGCAUUCAUUAGUACAUAACUAGUUAAACUAGUAAAAAACGGUGAUCAUCAUGAUCAGCCUAUAACUGUAUGCUAUGAAGCCUGAAACAUUAACAGUUUAUGAAUCUCCCAGCAGUAGUGAUUUUACAAUAGCAUCAGCCAUUCCAUCUGCAAAGGGGAAGAAGUGGCCGGCCUCGGGAAGCUCGUGGUAGCGAAUCCAGGGGAGCUUCUGGGCGAUAUUGCUCGCGAGGGCGACCGGCACGAUCCGAUCCUGAGCGCCGUGCCACAGAUGCACCGAUCUGUUGUUCUCGUGAAACGGAUUGUUUAGGCUCAUCGGGCUGAAUUCCCAGCUUCCGAACCCGACCAUCAGGUCGCGGUGAACGGACUCGAAUUCUCCUUGUUGCCUCACUUGUGGCUGCAGGAACAAAAUAGUCAUUAAGUCAUUUUCAUGGAUCAAAAGAUGAUGAUUAAGAAAACUAGCUAAUGUAGAUAUAAUCUUCAUAGGAUUCUGAAGUACAUUUACGGAAUAUAAAGGAUUGUUGAACAAGAUUAUGUUAGCAGGAAAAGGAAGAGAAAUUCGUAACCAUGAUGAAUUUUCCAGACAUAAAUGGUCUACCUACGAAUUUUGUGAUGAGUUUUACAGAAUAAACAGUAGAUAUUGGAACCUUUUAGCCUCUCAUCUCUAUGGUUCACAGAUGAAUAGAUCAGCUUAUUGCUGCUCAGCAGGCAUUGUUGUUGUUCUAGUACAGUUUCUUUUCAUUCACAUUCAAUUAGAGUAAACAAAUUACAGAGCAACCAUUAUAUAUACAGGAACUUAUCAUACCAUGUAGGUUGAUCUAGCGGCGAAUUUGGGCAUGAGCUUCACGUCUUCGGUAGAGAAAAUAUCGAAACGAAGAGAUAUAACACUCGAACACGGAAACCUUUUCUGGGUAUUCCACCAAUACGUCAACCAAGGAGCGUAGUGAGCGACUCGAACUGCCCACUGAUCUUGCGGAAGCUGUUUUGCGUAAGCUUCCUUCGAUACCUCGCGUGGAUAACCGUCCCACCAGUAGUUGGCGACAGGUGCAAGAAGUGCUGCUCCAGCAAGCCUAUCACAUUUUCGAAUUCAGCAUUCGAAAGAGAAGCGAAUCAUGCAUGAUAUUGCGUUCGGAACAAAGAGAACGGCGAAGAAUCUUAACCCCGAUAUUCGACCUUGAUCCUAGUUUCAUCCGCGACAUACAACCAUGAUUUUAGCAUCAUUCUCAAAGUUUCAAUUUUUAUGCAAUCAAGUCAUGUGUCGUUUCUCAUCGGCACCGUCUCAGAGAGUAGGUUAGGAGAAGGAUUUCAAGGUCGCGCAAAACAAAUGUCAGGUACUAAAUUGUCGCAACUGGAACUAUACGGGUGAAAUUGAAAUCCAAGUCAAACUGUAUAAAAGAUUUAAGUUUUGUGAUAAACCUCGAACCAAUAUAGCUUGAUGCUUCUCAUUACGACAAACAUGAAUGCAGAGUCAUGAGUACAGAGAGUACGAAAAACAAAUCGUACCUGUGGGGGAUGUAUCUUAGACAACCCCAAACAAGUUCUCCUCCCAUAGAAAAACCGAUAACAUGGAAUUUGGAUCCUAGCUUCAAUUGAUCAGCAAGUUCUUCGAUAUCUGUAGCCGCGCUUUCCACUGUUUUUGUUGGGUGUGGAUCACUCUCACCGUACCCCGGUCUAUCAAAGGAGACCAAGUGAAUUCCUUGUUCUUCAAUAACUUCCUGAAAUGACCAGUUUUCGGUAAACUAAAUUACCUAUUAAAAGAGGCAAUUAGCAUACACAAAGAAAGAUAGAGAUACAGAUACAAAAACAUAAACAUUACUUGGGAAAUACGGAGCGCAUCAUAUCGGCAAGAGUCGAAGCCGUGGACAUAGAUGAUUUUGUGUUUUGCCUCUUCUUUUCGGACUCCAUGUUCCAUGUAGGCUAAGUGCCUACCAUCUUUGAGCUUGAUCCUGGUUGAUGUAACAGGGGGGCCAUUUGUAGACCCACAAACACUUGGUGGGGGAGGUUGAAUCCAUUGAUGUAACAGUGAAAAUAAACCCACCAUCAAAACAAGUAAAAUUCUCUUGUACACUCCUGCAAAGAUAACAGUAAACUUAGAAGAGGAGCAACCCGAUGCGUUAACAUUAAGUGAGAAGCUUCACUACGUUGAGGCUCAUGGAAUCCUCUGCUGUAAGUAACCAGAAACACAUGAAUAAUCAGCAUCGAAAAGCAAAAGAAUUCACAUUUAUAUUACACUGUUUAUUGAAUUUUAAUGCUUUAGAGUCGAAUUUAUUAGCGUAAUCGGCAUGCCAUGCUUAAGAUUCGGAAAGAAACUUGGCCAGAAAAGUCUGCAUUAUUAUUGUUCAACAAAACAAGAAGUCAAAGACUCAUGCAACAAAUGUGACAAAAAAUAGAAAAUAAACAAAAAUUGUCGUGGGACGCAGAAUUGCGCUUUCUAUGAUUCUCUUCGACGAAGCAAAACUGAUCGUUACGAUUGGAUGUUAUACAUGGCCAAUAAUUUUAGUAAUAAUCCACCGCAUCGCGUGAGGAAGGGGUCAUAUUUGUGGAAAGAUGAAUUAGAGGACAAGAACUCCGACGAAUUAACAGGCAAAACCACAUAAAAAGAAAAGUGGUUUUUUUAAAAAAAAAUUACUCUGAUGGAGAAUGUUUUUCCCUCUUACAAACUUAUGCUAGUUAUCUUUGGUAAAAUAGAAACACCAUUUCACUCAUGAACUACACCACCCUUAUAAAUUCCGCUUCUGCGAAAAACAAAUAAAAGCUUACAUAUAAACAUGUUAAUUAAUCAGUUGUAGAACGUAUAAAUGAUGGCAAUGAUACUGAUAGUGCGACUCUUGUUAGCAAUACUUUUUAAUCAAGAUCAUUUGUAGUAAAUAUACAGCGACUAGAUUCUGUGAAUCUGACGCAUUAAAAAUAUCAAUAGAAGAGUAAAUGAUCAAACACAAAUAAAUAUUACAGCGAAUAAGAUGCAUCAACGUUCAUCGACCGAAACAUGUUGAUCAACAAAGAUCACACUCGACGCAUGCACCCGCUAAGGGAGAAUUUUAUCACAUAAAAAGGGUGCGACAAAGAGAGAGAGAGAGAGAGAGAGAGAGAGAGAGAGAGAGAGUCUCACCAUAGAGUGGGGAGUUGGAGGAGGAGUGAAAUGAUUUUCUCGUUGACACUGCCAUGUUCUUUGUUUUAUUUUUAUUUUUUUGUUGGGUUGGGGUUGGCUUUCCUAGCAAGUUCUGUAACAUAUGUUGUGGAUAUAUAGAAGAAGAAGAUACGAGCGAGGAGGGAAAAAUCAAUGUUCAAUGGCGGGAUGCACAAAAAGUGUCCUACUGCUGAUCUUCUAGAACAUCAGGUUUCAACUUAAAAAAAAAAAAAAAAAACAAGAAUCUAUCCAAAGAGGCCAGGAUCGAACCCCCCGUGUGUACAAAUUAAUGGGGAUUUAUUUAUUCCGCGGCCUUCUUGGUAGGUAUGGGUGCGUGAAUGUAUCGGCCUAUAAGUCGGCUUUGUUGUAAUCUUACUGGUUUACUCUAAAUAAAUAAAUUAAAAAAAUUGAGAGAAAGGUAUCAUACUGUCUACUUCGUUUAUUUUUUUAAAAAAUAAAUUUAGCUGGAAAUGUGAAUCAACUAAGAUUCGAAUUUGAAUUUUGGAUACCAACCACCAAACCUUUUAACACUUGCACUAGAGACGGUCGGUAAAUCUCCAGAAAAAAAAAAUUUUUGAGAGAAGAAAUGGAAAGAGAAUAUAUGGACAGAGAAAGAGAGAGUAUAUUCACUAUAUUCUUAUAAGUAUAGAUCUUUUUAUACUCAUAAAUUUUCGAUCGUUAGAUGAAGAAAUAUGCGGUCAAGAUAAUAGUGAUUUCUAGUUAGGAUGAUAAUUGUAUUGUAGGGUUUAGUAAAUAGUUGGUCGAAUAGUAUAAUCUAAUGGAUGAAAAUUAUUAAAAGGAUAAAUUUAACAGUCGAAAACUUAUAAAUACAAAGGAGUCUACGCUCAUAAAAAUAUAGUAGUAAGACUCUCUCUCUCUCUAUAUAUAUAUAUUACUUUUCUAUUCUAUUUUCUCUAUUCAAAUGACCAUUAAAUUUAAGAAACUCUCAAUUAGAUUUAGGAAAAACCACUCAAUCAAAAUUAUUAUCUAUAGUUGGGGCCUAUUUCAAAAGGCAGCCUCCAAAUACUUUUACCGUUUCAAAGUAGGCCAUAGUUGAGAGGGUCUACGUACUUUUUUUCUAUUUUUUAACCAUAACAUGAAAAUAUCCUACUUUUUUUUUUAACCGUAACAUGAAAAUAAAAUAAAAUAAAAUUAAAAUAAAAGCACACACACAGUCACACACACAAACGGGAACGCCGUAUGUCGCUGGUGUACACAUCAACUAUUAAUCUGGAUUUGGGGUUCGGAAUAAAAAAUGGGCCCUUAUUAGACCGAUUAGGCUGUGGUCAACUGCGUGGGCCCAGAUCGUGGUGGACCCGGUGCACAGAUUUGACCCGUAUCGCACCGACUUACGCAAUGCAAAUAAGGUGGGGCCAACAUGUCUACGAUACGCUCCAACCGAAACAACGCGGGAGUGAAAACUUUCUAUUUUUGAUUAAAAAAGAGAAAACUUUAAAAAAAUUCUGUAGUUUCGCACUUUUUCAUUUAGUAUCCUGUGGUUUAAAGUGUACCAAGUUAGUACUCUUUGAUUUUAUUUUUGUAUCAAGUUAGUACUCUGUGGUUAUACUUUUCUCUUAAUGAAAUAUUAAACCACAUAGUACUAAAGUGAGAAAGUGUGAAACCACGGGAUACUAACUUGAUACACUUUAAACCAUAGUAUACUAAAGUGAGAAAAUGCGAAACCACAGGGUACUUACUUGAUACAUUUUUAACCACAGGAUACUAAAUAAGAAAGAGGGAAACCACAAGAGAGUAUUUGAAGUUUUUCCUUAAAAAACCUAGACACAUCAAAAAUAGAACUAUCGAAUUAGUGGGUUGGGUUUAAACACCAUAAAAAUGUAACCGGCCCAAUAAGCCCAAUAGGAUGUUGUACACGAUGUGGCCCAACGAAACGCCCCGGGCUUAGUGGUAUGCCCAAUCCAUCUCUUUCAUAAGUCAACUUUUGGGUACUCUCCUUUUUAACCAAAAAUAAAAAUAGAAACUUUCCACUUUUUUCUUCAUUUUAUUUAUUUUUUUAUUACACCGAGUAACCUAAGUAAUUCCAGUAAUGGGCUUUUUUUUUUUUUUUUUUUUCUUUUUUUAAGGAUGGAGCAUUGGAGCCACUGGUCACUUGCCAAUGCCCAAGUCUACAAGGCACCAAACAAUUGGGAACUCUCUCUCUUGACUUUUUCUUCUUCUUUUGUUUUCCUUCGGUUCGGAAUUUCAAUUAAUCGGAUUUGUAUAUGUAGAUAAUUUUGAUUCAUGUCAAGUGUUUAUAGAUUUCGUAACUCUCUAUACCAAUAUAUAAAUUACUAAACUAUUUUGUUGAAAAGUGAUCGUUUGCGUCCAUUGAAACUUUCAAAGCAUACGAUAGAAAUCCCAAAGCGACACAAAAAAAAAACUCCACCAACCACUCUCUAUACUCUCUUUUAUGAGCUUCUCUUUCAUUUUAAUUUUUUAUAUAACUAGGGGGUCAAAUUUGACUCAGGAAGCAGAGAACGGAGCCAGUGAGGGCCUCUGAUCGUGUUAAUAGAUUUUGACAGAUGUUGACGUCAGUUUUUUAAGGGCUUCUAGAGAGUCAAAACUGGUGGCUAUAAAAACAUAACAAAUCUUAAGGAUUGUGCUUGCAUCAUCAUAUAAUGUACUUCCUUGUGUGAAAGGAAAAGGAUCCCUUGAUGAAAAAUUCUAAAAGGCAACACGUGUGUCUCGGUGACGUGGCGUAACAAAUCAAUCAAAUACCUCCUUUCAAAAAUGUAUGUCCCAUCAUGAUCAUAAAAAAAAUAUUUUUAUUAUAUUUUUGUUUGAAAAAAAAAAAAAUGAUUGACUUGUUAUUGAUGAUGUGGUGCAAGUACGACGGUGUAGAAUCCCUCCCCUCUGAUGCGGCAACAUCAAAAUUCCUGUACAGAAUAGCGUGUCAGCAGAAACGCCACAUCAUCCCGAUGGAUUUUCCGAGAAUUUAGAUGAUUCCAAAUUCUGAAAAAGUUUUGAGUUUCUUGUAAUUGGUAGUAGUUACCGACGGAGAGUUGCAUUGACCAUUUGUUACGCUCUUGCGUCAGUUCAAGAGAGAAGCCAAAAAAUUAAGGAGACAAAAGAAAGAACCUGCUACAAGUUCUUACUGAUUCAAUUUAUCAGAAUUCAAAGAAAUGGAAUACUCUUCACGUUUUAAAGAGGUGAAAGCAACAUACGUUUCAAUUUAGUCUAUAUUCAGAGUUUUAAGAGUAAAAGAAAUGUACCCAAUACAUCAUUAUGCUGCAGCUCCGUUGUGAUAUCUGCGUUGUUACUUUCGUACACCAAGCUUUAAGAGAUACGUCUCGGGGCGAAAAAUCUUCUUAUCGAGACAUCAGCAUGUAGGACUUUGCGCGAAUCGGCUGCAUGGAUAAUAGAAGAGUAAUAUGUCUCGGGGCGAUAGAAGAAGGAUCAUGAGAUCUCAUAAAUGGUUGGAUUAGCUUCUGUUUUACCGACUGGGUAGUUGAGGACUCUUAUACUUGUUUGGCUUCAUUGUGCCGUUGAUCUUUCUGAAGCCACCAAUUUACCAAAAAAGAGUCGAUAAUGAUCUGUGUGACAAUUUUUAUGUUAACCACAGGUUCAAAUGAGAAAAAGAAAAGAAGCGGAAAAGAGAGAUGAUUAAGAACUCCGGAGGGGGAAUUGGGUCAUGCCAAGUUUCAUCACCUGGUUAAUGUGAGAAGCAACACAUGGGAGAAUUAACAGUCCAGAUUCACCGAGUGCUCCUCCAAGCUGCUCCACAACAGCGACCAUCACAGGCAGUGUUUUCUACACGAAAUUAAAAAUAAAAAAAAAAAGGCCAAUUACUUUAAGCGGGAAGAAGCAUUCUCUUUUUUAUGUUCAUUUAAUGAGUUUUCAAAUGUUUUCAGAUUCUUGAAAAUAAACAGGAAUGUAUAGAAGUCAGGUGCAUACGAACAUACAUACAACAGAGACUCUUACAGUAGAUUGAAACCAAAUAACAAAGAAAUUUACCGACCUUAUUGUAGUAAAAGUUGAUAAAGAAAGUGGGACAAAAGGGGGAGUGGCUAUUUUUGACCUAUUUACUAGGAUUACAUAACAAGAGCCUUCUAGAUACACAGAUCUUCAAGCAAAAGUUAAAACAAAUCUUCAUCAUUCUAAGAAAAACAAAAAAAUAUUUGUCAAAAGUGCCAUUCACCCAACAACUCUGCGGACACCUAAAGUGGUGAUAGUCUGUCAGACAUUAAUUAUACGAUGGCAAAAUUCUACAACUUAAAAUAGUUUCUAUCAUAGAAUUCGCAAGGAUAAUACUGUAUGAUGCCAACUAAAUAGCCAAGUCAACAUACUAUUUGUUUUCUAUGCAUAUACAAUAAUGGUAAUGUUGAUAGUUAGGAUACACAGAAAAAUGAUAAUUACUGACCUGACUAGCAACUACUAUGACAGCACGAGCAUUUUCUUUCUUUGCAUAGACUGAUUCUCUACCUCCGGAGACUAGUGAUAGUAUCUGCACUGCUAUGGCAUUCAGAGCCAACAGAACGAGAUGUAGAAUUCUGUAGCAAGAAAACAGGUACUUGACAGUUAAUACAGUAUCAUCGCAUUAUUGGAAUAAAUAAAGCAAGCUAUAAAAAUCUUCCAAUCUCGCAGCAGUGUAAAUUCAUGGCGGUUGAAGAAGAGGCAGAAAAUUUGGGUAGCAACUACAUACAUUCCCAUAGCAAUAGCAACAGCAAAAGCUUGUGGCUUAACUGUUAAGAAAAGUGAUCUUGAUCUGCUUACUUGUAUCCAUGGAACCUGUAGUACAGCAAAUAAAAUAUUCUGAAUAAGUAAGAAAAUUAGGGUUGAGAAGAAGAAUACUUGAGCAAUGCAUGCUGCUAUGCUGAUACAUGCCCAGAUAUCAAGUACGAUUUAUCAAGUACUACAAGUAUGCGAGAAGCAAUGCCUUCUAUCGUAAUUCAAAACAGGGAUCUGCAGACAUCAAAUUACUAAUUACUGUUCACUAUAGGACCAGUUUGAUAUUUGGCAUUACACCUCUACCCUUAGCAUAAGCUUGGAAGCUAAGGACGCUUACCUGGAAACUUGAAUUAAUCAUCAUUUAAGUAAAGAAUUAUAUUAUUGGUAAUUUUAUGUUACUUGUCUUUUAGCUGCGAGGACAUUCUGUUCAAUAAGUUCCACCAAAAUGCUUGUUAUCUUCGAUAGUCAUAUAACUCCAUUUCGGGGAUCCAGUGUUCCCUGCCUACUACUUGUCCUUAACUGUUCUACACUGUUGAAUUCCUUCAAAUAGAAGCUGAAUAUUAAUAGAAGUAUAAUACAUGAAUCCUGACCGUCUAAGAAAGACCUAGAUGAUUGAUCCAAACCAAAAGGCCGAAACUUAAGUCUGCAGAAGGAAACAUUUGCAUAAUAGAUAAAGCAUAUGUCAUUGCACACCAACUUGUGAAUGCACUUCAACAUAAUACUUCAAACAGUAAAUGGAAAAAAUUAGUAAACCUCGUCCAAAUGAGGUCAUGUAUGAUACUAGAGAAAAGCAGAAUCAAUUCAUACUAGGCUAAGCAGUAUGGCGCUUAUCAUCGAAAAAGCACGCCGGUUUUGAUCAGCGAACUCUGCUACACCUGCCAACGCAACCAUUAAAGCAAAAUAAAUAGGCAUAACUCAAAUAGAGUUAGUUGUUUUAGAAGCUGGUGCUAAAGUGAAUGAGAAGCAUAAGAGCAAAUGCAAUCCAUAUACGAACACAAUUAGCUCCGUAUACUUUCAAGUUAACAAAGACAUAUGAAUCUAGAGGCAAAAGAUGGUAACCUUCCAUUCCUGUUGCAAAUUAUAAUCGUUGAAGUCAAAAUUGCACAUUAUCCACCGAGCUUAGUUUCCUUUUUUUUCUAAUAUAGAAAAUCUUUGAUAUCUGAUGUAUGUCCCAUUCCAAUCCUCGAUGCACAGGAGCCAAAGAGACCAACUAUAAAUAGCAUUUACUCUUUUAACAGAAACAAUCGCUACACCAACACGUAUUACUAACCUCUAAAAUAUAAAAGAGAUAUUAGAUUCACAAUACUGUAUACAAUCUAAUUAGCUCAGAUACAAAUAUGAAUUCUUAAGCCGUCAUGCUUGUACAAGCACCCAUUGAAAUAAACCCUAAUAAAAACCUACAGGUAUAUACACCGCAUGUAUGCAUUCUUUUUAUGGAAAAACGGGACAAAGCACUUGAAAGUUUACAUGAAUUCCUGAAUAAACACAUUAGUCAAGACUAUAAAUCAUUGUCUAUAAACAUUGAGAAUUAAAUAAUACUUUCAAUUCUGUUAUUCAUGCCUACAUGUUUUGUUGAAAUAUCAUGGAUGUAUCCAUCUAUGGAUGAACAUACCUGUAUACAUAUAUAUAUCCCACAUAUACAGGAAAAUCUUUGCUUUUGCUUUGGUCAUAGUUAAAUGCCCUAAGCCACAAGGGAUAACUAUAUAUAUGCUUAUAAGAAUUGAUCACCUUAAGGGAGGGGCUUGUUACAAAAGGUUAAAAUGAUUUGUGUAUCAGUAGAUACUAUACUAUAGGAAAUUGCAAUCAACUAUGUUGGAUACCAAAACCUUUGCUUAUGUUAGAACGGUUAACAGAUUCAUUUACUCCUUUUACUACUUGAUCUACACAGAUGCUAGCAAAGUCUUGAAGAUCUGAAAAAAUGCCAUUAUAUACUUGAAAAGAAAAUGACUAGCCGUAAUUAUGUUUCUAGCACAAUGUUUGUACAGAGUGCUAGUGAGUGCAUCAACAAGCCUAACAUGAUAUAUGCCCCAAAUUUACUUAACAUAUUUUUGAUAACUGUAAUAAAUCCAAAUCAAUUCAAGACAAACUGAAGAGGACUGACCUUUUAAGGUUUCUCGAACAACCUGUAAAAAAAAGCAUAUGUAAGUUCUUCCAGCUAAGUAGCAUACAGGGAACUCAAUAAAUUUACUAAAACCAAUCAAAAUAAAUAUACGCUGAAAUGACAAAGGUGUUAAAAAAAAGAAACAGGAGCUGAAGUAUUCAACUGGUAACUGACUCUCCUUGUGAUUUCCGAGUAGCUAUUGUUUUCUCAGAAUGCACUUUAUUAAUUGUUUGAUGGUUCUUGAUAAGGUAACGCAAAAGGUAUAUCCAUCAGUCAAACAUAAUAUAAAAGAAAAAAUAAGAAGCCAUUUCCAAGUUGAGCCUCUUGUCUGUCCGUCAUACUGUUAACAAACCAUGCAUACCAGUUUCUGAUUGAUGUUGACAAGGUUGUUACAGGUUAAAUAAAGGAAUAACAAAUCAUGAGGUUUUAUGAUAUGACUUCUGUACUAUGCUAUCAGGGCCAAUCAAAUGUUUUAUCUUAUUCCAUGUAAGUCCUUACAUACUUACAUGAGACCCUUCUUUAGUACUUUCAAAGACGCUCAGUAUACUCCAGACAAUUAGGAACAAAAAAUUCAUGAAUGAAACAAAAUGGCAUCAACGUGUCAAUGUGUUUGCAUAAGGAAAACAAAUAUACUUCCCUUCCCUAAGAACCUUUCAAAUGACAGCUGAUAUAUGAUAGCUCCCAUGCUACAAACCAGCCUUCGAGUUACGGUCAGGAACCCGAACAAUCAGCGAAAAAAAAUUUAGGGAUGAGAUAGUAACAUCUCCAUGAUAACUAUUUUUGACACUUACAAAAGACAUCCUACCCCACUUCCUCUUACCUGGGUACAUUCAAUUAAAGGAAAAUAGCUUUUCGUUUUUUUAAUAAAAGCUCCAGCAGCAAUAUCUUCUUUGACCUUUUGAUAAAACUACAAAAUCCUAACACAAAUUUGCCAUUCACCUAAUUACAAUACAUCAUACAGCCAGUAUUCUGACGGUUUCAUAAGAGAAACUGGAAGGACAAAGUUGGGCACAAUGUUAUCACCGCAAACAAGUGAAAUAAAUAUCAUUUGUAAGUUUAGGAACAAUUAACUUAAAGAAAGAAAAUGCUUGAAAGUCCAAAAAGAAAGGCUAGUUCAUCCUACACCUUUCCUAGAAUGAGGGGGAUCAGAAGAGUGUUGACGAGACUCUUAAAUAGUGGCAUUGUAGGCACGGACACCCCAGCUCCAGCACCAAUGAACAUUGAGAGGGAAAGCGGCACCUAAAACACAAAAGAUAAGCACUAAGACUACCUUCAAUAUAUGAUCACUUAAACACUGAUCAGAACUUUUGAGGUGAGUAAAAAGUUCAACAAAUCUAACAUAAGCAUAGUCAUUACUUAUAAGACUAAAGUAAUGUAUUAGAAUCCAAGCAGUCAUUAGUGUGGGUUAUCUAACCUAUUCAGUAUGUUAACUCUGACCUAAUCACCAUAGCAUGUUAGCCUUCUAUAACUAAUGUGCAACGCUAAUAGUUAUUUGUCACCAUUAGUAGACAAUCUCCAGAAAGCAGAGUAAAUAUUUAUAACAUUUUACUCAACAGAGUCUUUGUCUUUUUUGUUCAAUGCAUUUUUAUUCAACCGAGUCUUCAUCAAGGACAGUGACAACAAUGGUAAUAGAAGCUCUUACUGUUGUACAGUAAUUUUUAAAAUUAUUGCAAACACAGUUUUACUUUCUAGUUUCUACAAAGAGAAGUUCGACUUACAAUCAUAAUCCCCAACAAGUUGGAUAUAACAGUCAUUGCAAGAGCAAGAGCAGAAUUACCCCGAGCAAGCUGCAUUUUUUGGUGAUAAAUUUGCUCUUAGAGACACCGAGUAAUAAGAAGCAGAAAACUGUAACAGAUUGAAGGGAAAAUAUACGAGCUUACCAUUGUUAAGGCGACUCCACUUGAUAAUGUUGUUGGCAUACAGCAAAAGAUAGCAACCCCUGUACCAAAUCACUUCUCUAUCAAGUCAUCUAAGAUGCAAAAUACCAACUAGCAAGAUUAUCCUUGAGAGUGAACUUCGAAGAGUAUACUUUAUUUAUUGACAGCAUACCGGUGACGAAUUCAUGAGGUACCAACUGAAUUUGCAAGAUUAUCCUUGAAAAAAAAGGAGUCAACAGUAGAAUUGAACCCUACAAGGACAAAUAGAAUUAUAAACAGCAGGAGUCAACCAUAGAGUUGAAACAAGAUCUUCUUUGCAUAUUCCUAGUUACUAUGAAAAUGAUCAGGCUAAUGAGCAUUACAAUGCGGUAAGGUUCAACUAAUGCUCAACAAACUACUUGAGAUCAACAUGUAAGUACGAGUGUGUGUUGGAAAUGGCAGAACAAAUAAGGAAAUGCCUAUCAAGAAGAGCAAGUAAACAGCAAAAUCAGCAGCCAUCACAAGACAUAAAUUAACUGUUAAAUUAUAUGAAACAUCCAUUAGUCUUUAAAAGCUUAAGUUUCUAGAGAACGGUGUUUUUAAUAAUUAUAUUCAACACUCCUCACGUCUAGACUUGAAAUAUUUAAUAAGUCCAAGACGUGGACUUGAACAAAAUGAGAGGAAUUUAAUAAUGCUAGUAGCUUGGCGGGACUUGAACUUAGAACUUGCUAUUCCGAUACCAUAUUAAACUAUAUGAAACAACUGUUAGUCUCUAAAAGCUUAAACUGCUAGAGAACGAUGUUUCUAAUAAUUAUAUUCAACAUUAACAAAAGACAGUACUUUUAGAUAGAAAGACAUAAGUUACUUUGUCAGUAGAAUACAAACUUGAGAUCAUACAAGCCCAAAGAGUCCUGCAGGCCAGGCUUCGAUAGCUGCACCAAGUUCUGCAGUUCGCAACAUGAGCCCUAAAUUUUGAAGAUAAUAAUCAGCACAUGAUUUCGAGGACAAGAUUUUAACAGGUGAAGAGGAGGGGAAAGAAAUAUUUGAAUCAUGUCACGGAUUUCCGCACCUGAUAGAAAGAAAAUCCCAAUGGUGCUGAAUUUUGACAGAGAGUAUUUGUGAGCAAGACAACCGAGUGUUGGGUUUGCUAGUCCAAAAAUUAUUCCGCCCACAAGAGCUUGACAAGAAAACGGAAAGGUAAACUUGUCAGAGUUCAGAAAUGCAUGGUUCUGAAGAAAAUCAUUACUCAUUACUAAACAAGCAAACAAUGAUCUCCCCCCCGCCNCUUUACUUUGAAGCCAUGAGGGGUUAUAUAUACAUAAGCUCCUAAUCACAUCGACAAAUAUAUUUCUUAGCAAAAGCUGUUACAACUACAAAAUUAGGAAUAACAACUUGAUCUAUAGUAGGUUUUCUUUUUCUUUUAAAUGGAGAUAUAUAUAUAUAUAUAUAUAUAUAUAUAUAUAUAUGCAUAAACUGGUCAAGGUAACAUUAAAUUUGGUCAGUAAAGAAACCUAUGCUUGUUCAUACAGGAAAUGUAGUAUACCACAUUGGGUAAGCUAAUAUUAAGUUUUGUCCUUGUUUAAGUUUCAGAAUAAUUAGACAUAAAUUGAAGAAAAUUGGAACACCCAUUCAUGGUUUACAUUUCUAUUUAUAACAAAGCAUUGAAUUCUACUUCAAUCAGAAUACAAUUUGUAUCCUAGGAAAAAUGAAAAUUGUGCCUUUGCACAAGAGGAAUAACUCAGAAAGCCCAUUGCUAAGCAAAUAAUAUUCAAGCACAACAAAGAAAAAAUAAAAUGUGACUGUCGAUUGGAAUAAAAUAAUAUUUUGCAAUGAGAAAAAGAAACUGGAGCCCAUAUGUCGAUUAAGGGAAGAAAAACAUAAAAAAUUUUAAGUUGUAAAGUAAUAAGAACAAAGACAGCAAAGGAUGAAACUGGACUACCAGAAAAAAUUGAUUGAAUAUAAGAGAACUGAGUUGGCUGACAAUAUCUACCUAGAGGAAGGAAAUUGCUUGAUACAAAACUCAAUAAUGAUCUUCCCCACUCAAAGACCUUCAGAGUUUCUGAGGCCUCAGGCUGAUUAUUUCCACUAUCAUAUACCUGAAAAAUUGGAGUAAUACGUUAUAGAAAGCAUUGGACGUGCACAUAGUAUAAAACACAUAAAAGAGUAAUAACUACUCUGAUGAAAUGUGUAACAUACAAAAGCACAUCUUGCAGACGACCACAAGUAUGCAAUCAAAUAUGGCAAAGAACAUGCGAAAUGGUUGUAUUAAAAAAGUAAUACCCAACUACCUAGUGAUAUUUAAGUUCAAAUCGCCCGAAAUCCUGCAACCGAUAUGGAUAGUUUUGUGAAAUAAAUAACACUCGAUGAAACUUCCUGUAUGAUCCCAACAACACAUACUAAAAGCGAGUCUAAACCCUAAAUAUAUCCACAUAUUCUAUGGAGAUGCAAUGCCUACGCAGCAACAUUGUGAAAAUCACCAAACCUGAAAUAACUCCUGAUUAAGAUAAAAAAUGCAACAGGAAAAGAGAAAAAAAAAAAAAAAAAAAGAAUACUGAGAUCUCUGAUUCCCAAUGAAGAGUUGCACACUAGCAUCGAGCUUCACCACAAUGACGCAAUAGAAUUAUGAAGAUAAAACCCUUAAGCCUUCAAAUUUCGGGGUAAAUUGUAUCGCUAAGACAACGGAUCUCAACAACAAGCAAAAUAAGACGAAGCUGGUGAAUCGAAACGAUCAUAAACAGGUGGAAUUAACGUGUAAAGGAAGCACCUACCCGAUCGGAUCCUCCUGCGGCCAUUAAAGGCCGCAGAAGCGGGAGGUGUUCUCCGCGGAGCGGUGAAGGAGCAAGGGGGACGACGAACUUGGUGGAGAAUCCGAAGCGGCUUCCCAGAAGAGGAGGUGGAGUUCGCCGGAGAACGCCAUGGGAGGUGGCGUAGGAAGGUUUUGAGCUUAGGGCGUGGAGGGCUACGGCGACCAUGGCGGAGCAGGGCAGAGGAGCAGGGGAAGUUGGGGGAGGAGGCACAAUGAGCACCAUCGAUCGAUUUGGGCAACGUACCUUACUAUGUAAAUGGGCCGGUCCAUGGGCCCAAUUUCUCAGUGUGAGAGCCGGUUUACUAGGCCGGAGUAUGGACCCAACUAUAUUGGGCCGGGCCGUUCACUCUCUCUCUCUCUCUCUCUUCUCCGCCGCGGCGUUUCGCCGAUUCCUCGGUGCGGAAGAUCUCGUCCGCCGAAUCCCGGGCGCCUCACACGCGGACGGCUAGGAUCAGCUCAAGGCCCCGCCGAAGGGCGCCGCGAUUGUCCCCAUCUGUAAUCUGAAAAGGUUAGAAGGAAUGUGCAGAGACCCCCUCAACUAUAUUCCGUUUUGAAAUCGGUACCAGUUUUGUUUUUCUUUUGUCCGACAUUUCAAUCAAGCUAUUGUUAACUAACAAAAGCUGUUAAUUUUAAUCAUCAAAACAAUUAAUAGAUCUGCCAAUUUAAACAAAAAUCUCUAAAAUAAACAAACUUUGUAAAUUGGAAGGGGAAAAUAAUUAAAACUUAAGGACCUAGUUCAAAAUUGCCUAUAGUUUAAGGCGUUCUCAGUAUUUUUUUUUUUUUAACCAUAUAUAAAAAUAACCGCAUUGUUUGGAGCCAACACCUGUGCUGCUCCUCAAACGAGGCAAUUUUUCAUUCAUCAUAUCCCGAUGCACAUCGUGUCACAUGAAGAGCAAAGGUGAAUACACUUGUGUGCAAAUGGCGAGGACACACAACACAGUGUCUUUGUAGGAUUUAAUUAUUUGUAAAAUAUAAUAUAUUAGUAGCAGGGUAGGGUACUGGAUAAACUCUGAUGUUCUUAUUCUGUUGUUUGGGUAACAUCUGGAAGUGCUUCUGUAGCUGAGCUCAGUGUGGAAGUGCUUUUGCUGUGAAAAAAGUUGGUUGGGAGAAGAAGCGAUCACCAUGAAGGUGUGUUUGCUUUUGUUUUAGCCCCAUCUUAAUUUACUCCAAAUAGUUUGUUGGUAUUGUUCCUGCUUUGUUAUUGCAAGGAUUUAAGCAUUUAGGUACUUCUAAAAAGAUGAUUUUGUUGUUACAAACUUGGCAAAGCAGCUACUGGUGAUGGUUUAAGAUUGGGUAGUAGAGUUAUGAUGAUUAUGAAACAUAUACUUCUUUUUUUUGUGUCUGUUUCUAUGUAUUCUUAGUUCUUGCUCUUUUUAGCAAAUAUUUACAUGUAUGUGUGCAAUGUUCAUGUAAUUGUAGGUUCAUGAGACAAGGUCACAUGCCCAUGCUUCUGCAGAGGAAGAAGGGAAGAUGGGAACGCGGAGGCAAAAGGCGGAGAGUAGAGGGCAAGACGAGUCCUCGAAGAAGAAGCCCAAAGUAACCGACGGCGAGAACGGCGGCACCAACGCGAAAUCGGCAGCCGCGAUCGCGCUGGAGUUUGAUGAGUUCUGCAAGGCUACAAGAGAGCACCUCUCGAUCGAGGAGAUGCGCCGCAUUCUCGAGGCCAAUGCCCAAGAUCCUUCCGGGUCGGACGAUGCCGUGGUCCCAAGAUGGUAUUUCUUCGCAAUUUAGCUUGAACAAAUAUCGGAAUUCGAUUGAAUACUACUCAAAUUGUCUUAUUUAAAGGGUUGGUUGCAAAUUUAGUUCAAUCUAGUCCUCAAAACCUCAAUUGUGUAGUAGUUCGCAAAGUUUGACUUGAUUUCAAUUUUAUCCUAAAAGCUUUAAUUUUAACAAUUUACUGCUUAAAUUACAAUACAAUUACCGACCGCACCUAACUAAACUAAGGGCUUUGUGGUUGAUACCUGAGGUCCCGAGCUCGAAGAUUAGUUACUUCAUGAGUUUAUUUCUAAAAAAUAAACGAAGCAGAUAACUUGCUAUCAGGGACUAGUAGAAUGCUAUAAAUAAAGGAUUAAGACCGAAUUGAAAUCAAGGAGUACGUCGCAGAUGGCCAGGAAUUAAAUCAUUCGGCUUAGUGUUGAUUACUGUUAUACUUGUUACAAUUGGAAGUAUGAGGACCGCAUUGAAAACGCGUGUUGAUACUGUUUAUAUCCUUGUAGCCAGGAUAUGGUGCUUAUAAUUGGCAUUUAAAGUUUAUAUUUGUUAUGGUUCUUGAUAGCCAAGAUAUGAUGUUCUAUGGGCCUCUAGAGAGUUGCGCAAUGUGCGGAGGCCAGCUUGAGUAUACUGGGAAAAACUACAGAUGCCAAGGAAGAUACAGUGAGUGGACUACUUGCCCAUAUACAACAAUAAACCCUCCUCGGAAGAGCGAUCGCAUCAAGGUCCCCGAGGAUAUCAACAAUGAAACAGCUCGCGAGGUGUGUUUUGUACUAUAUAAAGGUAUGUGUAUUGUAUGUGUAUGAAGAGUUGGCUUAUGAGCUUGGCAUUGUUUUGAAAAAUAUGAAGUGGGUUGCGAAUCAAGAAUCGAGAGCUUAUCCACAGCGGGAUUUGCCUUUGGUGGACAAGCCAUUCUCGGGCAUGAUGAUCUCUUUAUCCGGGAGGCUUUCGCGAACACAUGUAAUAACUUGAGACAAUUUUCUCGUCAAUGUUGGAACCGGCUUUCUAUGUUUGAUUUACUGUCAAUUUUGUUUCCUUUAGCAAGCAUGGAGGGAGGAAAUCGAAAAGCACGGAGGAAAAGUUUCUAAUAGUGUCAUAGGUAGGGGGCAAGAUGCCAUAUUAUUUGUUUGUUUCUUAAAUACGGCAUUUAUGAUAAUCCACAAGGUAAUAUGUAGAUGUGGCCUAUCAUUUCAGGUGUUACUUGUCUUGUUGUUUCCCCUGCUGAACGUGAGAGAGGCGGUUCGACAAAAGUUGCAGAUGCUAUGUAUGACCUCUUCUUUGUUACCCUUUUUUUUUGGGUGGAAAUUUUUGAAAUUGUUAUUAUAUCGCGAUUGCUGUUGAAUCACUGAUGAUAAAAAGAAACCAUACAAUGAAUUUACAUCCACAUUUGGAUCCUCUCAUGUCCCAUUCAAAUGCCCGGCAACAGUGUGUUGAGAGCUGCAUGUGGAUUGAGACAACUUUAUACUGUUCCAAUUUCGUACUUGUUGUUUAUUGGUCUUGUUAUAUGAUAUGUUAAUUAGGGAAAGGAACAUUCCCGUUGUAAGCGAGGCUUGGCUUAUUGAUAGUAUCCAAAAACAAGAGGCUCAACCGUUCGACGCAUACGAUGUUGUCUCCGAUCUUGCCCCGGAGGGCAGAGGAAUUCCACAGGACAAGCAAGACCCGAGCGAGGAGGCUCUCGAGUCUCUCACAGCAGAGGUUUUGUUCUAGCUCAGCUAUUAAUACACUUCUCUAAAUUUGUUUCCGUGAUUAUUUAUUCACAAGUGAAUUGUGCAGAAUAAACUUUACGGCAAAAGAGCAGUUUACAAGGACUCCAUGCUGGAUAAGGACGGCGGGCAAAUCUUUGAAAAGGACGGGAUUAUCUACAAUUGUGCAUUCUCUCUUUGUGAUCAAGCGAGCGGAGUAAACGAGUAUGUCAUUGUUAAAAUUUGAUUUUUGAACUGCCCAUUUUGGCCUAUAUAUGGGAUUGUACUUAUAUUUGUUUACUUCCCAUGCCGCAGAUAUUGCGUGAUGCAGCUGAUCAUGGUGCCUGAGAACCACCUGCAUUUAUAUUACAAGAAGGGCCGAGUUGGGGAUGAUCCGAGAGCGGAGGAGAGAGUUGAGGAUUUUGAGGAUCGCGUGGGUGAUGCGAUUAAGGAGUUUGUUCGACUUUUCGAAGAGCUUACUGGGAACGAAUUUGAACCAUGGGAACGAGAGAAGAAGUUUGAGAAGAAACCUAUCAAAUUUUACCCCAUGGACAUGGUGAAUGAUAUUCACUAUGCCCUUAUUGUUUUUAUUAGUUCACCACAAAAUUCUAGUUAAUAUUCGUCGAACUUUGACGACCUAUCAUUAAUCAUUCAAUUAUGAGUAGGAUGAUGGAGUUGAUGUGCGAUACGGCGGCCUAGCUCCGCGCCAGUUGGGAGCGGCAUCUGUUCAUUGCAAGCUCGAACCUUUGGUCGCAAAUUUUAUGAAGAUUUUAUGUAGCCAAGAGAUUUACAGGCAUGUAAUAUGAAACAUAAUUGCUACCUUAUGUAGUCCUUAUGACAGCUUAAGGUAGUUUGUUUUUUUUUUUUCCCUUUUUUUUUUAUUUUUACUUUUGGGUGUAGGUAUGCUUUGAUGGAAAUGGGUUAUGAUGCACCGGACCUUCCCGUCGGGAUGUUAACUGAUCUCCAUCUGAAGAGAUGUUAGUAAUUCAUAACUAGCCCAUUAAAAGAUGAACUGUAUUUGCCUCAUCUAUUUGCUAAAGGCUUUCUACUGGAUCAGGUGAAGAAGUGCUUCUGAAGUUCAGAGAUGAUCUGAAAUCGGCUCCUGAAAACAGUUCAGAGCGCAACAUCAAGAGGUUGGACGAUAGCAAUCGGUGGUUCACUUUAAUGCACUCUACCCAGCCAUUCACCAUCAAAAACUACCAAGAACUCGCUGAUCAUGUAUACAAUCAUCCAUUAAUCUCUUUAAUAGAAUUUUCUCAUGGGUAUACUUCAUUAAAACAAAAUUAUUUCUACUGUCAUUGUAGGUGGCCGCAGGUUUGGAAACAAUUAGGGACAUAAAUGUUGCAUCGCGGCUUAUUGGAGACAUGACCAGUAGUACUAUCAAUGAUCCACUUUCUGAUCGGUACGAGAAGUUGAGUUGCAUGAUUACUCCUGUGGAUAAGGACUCUGAUGACUAUAAGAUGAUCGUGAAUUACCUCGAGAAAACCUAUGAGCCCGUCGCAGUUGCUGAUGUGGUAUAGUUUACGAUUUUUGCAUGCACAUUUUCAUUUGAGGGCGAAUAAUAGUUUCACUUCAGGUAACAGAGUCAUGAAUAUUAUCCCCUAUUCUUUCAUGCAGAGUUACAGUGCAUCAGUGGAGAACAUAUAUGCUAUAGAAUCAAGUGCUUGUCCUUAUGAUGAGAUAAAGAAACUUCCAAAUAAAGUUCUCCUGUGGUGUGGUAGGCAUUAAUUCACCUCUUUUAAUGAAUGAUUCUCUUUUUUAUUUUUUAUUUUUUAUUUUUGGUUAUCUCUGUUUCCAGUAACUAAGUAGGACCUCUUUGUACAUUAUUUGAUAGGUACAAGGAGUUCAAACUUGCUAAGGCACCUGCACGAAGGGUUCCAACCUGUAAUAUGCGCAAUUCCUGUGCCUGGUUACAUGGUAAAAAGCCCCCUUCUCUUCUUCUUUUUUUUUUUUUUUGCCUUCGACAAAAUUUAAUUGUAAACCAUAGUUUCUAAAAAUGUUUCAUUCUUUUUUCUUUCUUUUCUAGUUUGGGAAAGCUAUAGUUUGCUCGGAUGCAGCGGCCGAGGCGGCGCGGUAUGGGUUCACGGCGAUCGAUAGGCCAGAAGGCUUCUUGGUCCUGGCGGUUGUUUCUCUGGGAGAACAAGUCACUGAGAUAUCUGGCAUACCUGAGGUAUCAUAACCAGCACAGCCCCAGGAAUCUUAAAUGCUGUUUAUUAGAUUGUUACGGUUUUCUCUUGUGGUCCUCAACAGGAUACAAAAUCCUUAGAGGAGAAAAAGAUCGGUGUCAAGGCGUUGGGGAAGAAAAAGCCUGAUGAAUCAGAGCAUUUCACUUGGAAGGAUGAUGUGAAGGUGCCCUGCGGGCGAUUGGUUCCAUCGGAGAACAAGGAUAGCCCACUCGAGUACAACGAGUAUGCGGUCUAUGACCCGAAACAGGUAAACGCUACUUCUCUUUGUGUUAUAGAUGAUAGACCUUUUUGACAACUAUAGGGCGUCACCGACAUAACAAAGUCUCACGUAAUCGGAAGUGUUGAUUUUGAUACGCCUUGAUUUACAGAUAGAUGAUGUCAGAAAGUUAUAAAAUUUAGUUUUUCAUAAUCUUCGUCGGGUAUUGUUGAUAAUAAUUUGAUUGUACAACUACAUGGAUCAUCGAUUUGUGACGUCUCAUAAUCGAAAUUGAAAGUGAAUCCAUAUUACAAAUAAGAGACAUCUUAGCUGGUUCUGCAGUUUGUGGUGGUGGUUUAAGUGAUUAAAAUGAAAGCUAGGAAGAGGUUGUGGCAUUUAUGUAGUGUUUCAAUAUUUAUGUAGUGUUUCAUUUCUUAAUACUAAUGUUUCUUUUUUUCGAAUAUCAUUUUUCUCUACAGGCUAGUAUCAGGUUUCUGGUGGAAGUGAAGUAUGAAGAGCAGAAUAUGGAGAUGGACACAGCUGAACCAGAUGAAGUAAGGAUGACCUAAUUUUGAGUUUUUUUUUUUUUUUCGCUGCAUGGAUAGUAGUGCUGUGUUUUUUUGAGGCCCUUUUAAGGGGGACUAAAAUGUGGUUUGGGGUUGUUGUUUCCCAAAAAACAUUACCUUUUUCGGGUAUGUGAAGUAUCUGUUUAUGUUAUGUAUAUAUGUUCACAGCUAACAGUAAAACACCUGAUGUUUAGUUUUGGAGUUCAAAUUUUGGAUUUUUCCUCUGGUGCCUUUAGACUCUUAAUUGGUUCUGCCUCUUACUUGGAGCUGUUUUGUUUUAAGAGCUGCUUUAAAGCUCAAUUGGUAUUGUUACAGGCAUUGAGGACUAUCUUAUUGCUCAAAUAAUUGCCUUGAAAGUAGCUGAAAUCGAUUAGCGAGAUGUAGUAGUACAUAAACAUAGACAAGUUAAUUCAUAUAGUGCCUUUUGUUUGCUUUUCUAUUUCUCAUCUCUCCGAGUCCUGAGUAAACAAGAAAGGAGUGUUACAAUGACAUCAUAGUUAGUAGUAACUAAUGCCCUAGAUCGAUGAACUAUUGCCCUAAGUUGAACCAAACCUAGCCUAGCUUAGAUAUUAAACCUCAUAUAGAUAGAUGAUCCCAUCUGCACCUACACUUCAGUAAGCUACCACAACAGAGGACCCAGAAGAUGAUCACUCCAGCUGAAUUGCUGCUCAUUAGAGCUCACCAUGAGUGCAAUUGGAGCUCUUGUUAAGUUGCAGUGGUGCCGACGAGGUCGCAUCGAGGUCGGGGAUCGCAGCGCGGUUGUUCGACGAAGCAGCGGCUGCGGUGGUGUUCGACUUCGACUUCGUGAGCUUCUGCUUGAGCUGGGAGAGGAGAGCUUGGUUUUCUUGGCUCAACAGCUGGGCCUUCUUCCUCAGCCUCUCAUUCUCCUUCAUUAUGUAGUAGUUCUCCAAAUACAGCUUUGUGUUAAGCCCCUCCAUUCUUGUGUAUUUACUAUGUUGACCUCGCUUAAUUUGGGCAAAGUAAUAAUACUAAAGUAUGUAUUACCCCAACUGCAACCAAUAGAAUUUAAGAGUAAGAAUAAGAUGAAAGAAUAUAAUGUGUAUGUGUAUAAUGUUGGAAUAAUCAAUCCCAAUGUUGUCUCUGAACAAGUGCAUCUUUUCUCCAGAAAAAAAGAAAGUACAGGACACUCAUGCAACCUGAUUAGAGACAUGCAAUGAACAAAAAAAAAAAAACAAGAUCCACAAAUGAACCUUCUAAAGCAAAAGAAAACUCCAUAGUAGCUAGGCAUAUAUAGUGCCAAUUAUUCACUAUCAAAUUAUCCCAAUUAUCCUAAAUACGGGGAGAAAUAAAAUUAAGGAUGUAUAACACUACAAUGAAUUAGAUACCAUUUCUCUAAUUACCAGGUAUAUAUAUAUACUGAAGCAAAUUAGUGAGGAAAUUUCUAAGUAAUUAACUAGACCCACCACCCUUCCCCACCAUGGCAUUAACAAUACGAAAAUGUGAAACGUGACAACAUGGUUAAGGAUUUUAGAUAAAAUUAAGCAAAACAAGUACCGAGUACAUUUCCUUAACAAUGUAAAGUGAUCCAUUAAUUAAGAACACAUGAUAAAUUAAAGUAAAGCAAUCACCUCUUAUAUAUGGAUUAAUGGCCUCAAAAUUGAAUUAGAAAAAUAUGAGAGGAGCGAGUGAAUGAGAGGGGGAGGAGUAGUGUGGUGGGACAAGCUUUUGGUUUGGUAGUAUUUAUAGGGCCAAAGUUGAGGGUGUGGAGUACAUUGUGGAAAACACAUGCCUCUCUCUAUAUCUCUAUAUCUCUAGCACACAUAGCACAUGCAUGGGUGCAUGGAAACAAGGGGAAAUAAUUUCUUGUCACACGGUGUAUCUGUAUCUAUCACAUACACCGCACAUAUUUUAAAGAUAAAAAUAAAAUGAACACGUCACCUUAGUACUAAAUAAAAGAUUUUAAACAUACUAACUAAAUAUAUAAAAUCCAUAAUUUUUUAAUAUAUAUAACUAAUUAAACUCUAAAUUUAAGACCUCUUACAAAAAAUAAAAUAUAUAUAUAAAAGUGUGACGCGCGAUGCACCAGGUGCAUGCAAUAAAUUACGUUGAGCUAAUGAUGAGGGGGGCAUUUUCGUAAUUUUACGAGGGGGCCAAUCAAAAUGAUAAUGGAGGGCUUCGGUCGGCCCAAGAUUCGCAAUGAUGGCCUUCUUCGGCCGCUUCCAUCAUCAUUCCUCAUCAAUGCUCUUUUGUUUUUUUUACUUUUUUUUUUCCCUUUUCUUUUUUACCCCUAAUUUAUAUUACACAUUAGUAAUUAUUUCCUCGGCUCCCAUUUUUAGUAGAUCAUCAUAAUGUAGUUUUUUGUUAUUAUUAUUAUUUUACUACAUAGUGUUUUUUAACAUGUGGUGAUUUUAAAAACUUUUGCUCUGAUACCAUAUGAAGCAACCGUUGUACUCUAAAAUGGUGUUUAUAUAAUUUUAUAUUUAACAGGACUCAAAAUGGUAAUCAAAUUCAAACCCAAAUAGUAAUCAAAUGAUAAUUUAGAGAUUUAUUGUUUAUAAGAUGAAGAGAUUUUGUCUUUAUUUAAGAAGUGUUUCAAUAAUCAGAUAUCUAGCAAAGACCAAAAAGAAAAGAAAGAGGAGAGAGAGAGAGAGAGACAGAGAGAGAGGGAGAAAUUAUAAAGGGUGAGAGCCGGUUGUGAUCUUGCCCUUUGCUUUUUGUCAUCGUCAGUAUUUUCCCCCUUAUACUCCAAUAAUCCCAUGCCAUGCUCUUUUUAAAACCUUAUUGCAUUACCACUUUAUUGGUUACUGCGCAUGGUAAUAUAAAACCCGACGUUAAAGCAACAUUAUUAUUAUUAUUAUAAAAAUUUGCUUAGGUUGGAAUCGUUGGAUCGCAUAACAUAGGGGGAGGAGCUAAACCAAGGUACAUUUGAUCUAGUGUAUAUGAGAGAAUUGUAAAUGUAAUGUAAACUAACACUUUAUUGCUAAUGUAGAUAAAGUGCAAAAGGGAGAGGGAUGGGCCAAAGCCAACAAAUCUUGGACAAACUACUCGGGCAUUGCGUCUAAGAUGAUGGUGUUCUCUAUGUCACCCACUAGUGUAAAUACAAAUGAACAUAUAUAUUUUUGGAGAGGAUUCAAAUUCUUAGGUUUGAUUGCAAGAAAAUCAUAGUAGUUUUAGCACCUCCACACAUGGCAGAAGAUCAUUAUCUGAGCCGAGUGCGAGCAAAGAACGCAUAUCAACUGCUCUAGAUAGAAAUGAUAAUAACAAUGCAAUGUUAUUGUGUGAACCUUUCUCUUCUAACUUCCAACAUUAAGAAAGAAAGGGUAUUUUGGCACUCUAGUCAUCAGAAGAGACUGAGCUUUUUCCAUUUGGUUUUUGCUUCCAAUGCAAGGGCAUAGAUUUGGCAAUGUAACAAGGACGGGAAUAAGCUAUUUUGAGAUGAGAAUGAGGGGAGGUGACCCUUUCUAAAUAUGGCAUUGUUGCUUAAUACAGAAAAAACAAGCAAGAUUCCCAAAUUGUCCUUCUGAUAGCCUAGAAUCUGCAUAAACAACUUAAAAGAGGAUAGGGUGUUAUUUUUUGGAAAAGAUACUCAUUAGUAGAAAGGCUUUGGAAGAGGAACAUAAUCUUUAUGGUCUCUCAGAGAUAGGAUUGCAUUGCCAGAAUCUUGCAGGGGCAUUGAGCUCCACAGGGUUUAUAAAUGCUUUCACAUGGUGCACAGUUAGUUGCACAUUGGAAGGUUAACUAGAUCUUUAGACGAUUUGAAAAUAACUUAUAACUCAACCAUAUUAUCAUCCGCCAUCCAUUAUAUCUUAUACUUGAAAUUGAACUAGCCAAAGUUUAAAUAAAGGUUGGAUUUGAAUGAGAAGAGCAAAAGAGAUUGAAAUAUGAGACGAAGCAUAAGUUCGACACACGAUGAACCAUCUGAGUUGCAGCCACCAUGAUGGUCACCUGGGUGUUUAAUGGAGAUGGAGAGAGAUAAUGUGGAAGAAGGGCAAGUGAAAUCAUGGGAAAGGUAGAGAACACAUUGGUGGGAGGUGGAUAAAGGUUAGCAAGAUCAUGAAAAGCUUCUGAAGAACAGUAGUAGCCACAACACUUACAAAACAGAGUCAAAAUGAAUCAAGCCUACUUAAGACCAGGUAGAAAUAGAUUUUGUUGAAAGGAAACCUUACUUCUGUCAACUAAAAAGAAGCCUCAAUAACCAAGUAAUUAAUAUGAUUUUCAAUUCAAUUGAUUAAAAUAACUCGCAACAAACCGAUAAAAAAGUUCCACAAGUGUCGAUGAUAAGAAGUUUAGCAACCGAUUUUGAAAGGGCCUACUGUUGAGGGGUUCUGCGGUCUCUGUCCAAAUUUGAAGCUUUUGUUUUGGAGGGAAAAAAAAAUGAAAAAAGAUAUAAAAGAAACUAAGCAAUAGAGUCAUGAAAAAUCUCGAUAAGAUCAUAGAAGUUAAUGGAUAGACCAAACUCUCUCUAGCUAUCAACAAUUCUUAUAAGCCACUUUUAACAGCAAACAGUUGAGGGAAAAAUAAUUGUUUCAGGAAAGAUUACAAUCUGGAUGGAUGAUGUCUCGAAACAUUGGAACGAUCUUCUAAAAGUAGAAAUGCAAAUGGUUUUUGAAGUAUCAUUAUUACGAACAGUCUGGAUUUCGUUUCACCAAAAAGGGGGGCAAAAAAAAAAAAGCUUUGGUGCUUCAUCUGGCUUGAGGGUGGCCAGCAAUAUAGUCGAUGAGCUGAGCAGUUGUCGAAAAUUUCUCUGCCUCACUGUUUGGAAUCUCAACUGCGAAUUCCUCUUCGACCGCUGCUAUGACUUCCACAUUAUCGAGCAUGUCCAAGUUCAGAUCAGUCUUAAAGCUCGCAGUUGAGCUCACCUGAUGAUAACCACAAGUUGAACAGUUUAAAUAUCUGUUUCAUUCUACUAACUAGUGCAAUAUAGAUCUGAUCCUUGGUGUUUAUGAGAGCUUCUAGGCUCUAGCAACAUACUUUUUACAUGUAUUGCACAUUUUCAUCUCACAGAUCUAACUUCCUACACUUGCUCAGCAAUACAACAGCUUGCAACUCGUACUAUCAUACAUAUGAAGAAAUUGUACAUAAUGGAUGAUAAUGUAAUUAGAGCAGGAUAACUGGCUUUAGCUACAAGUUACUUCAAGGAGACAAGGACUUAUUCCUAGUAGCCAAAUCGAGCACUCUGAAGCCCAUGAACUCUUUGAUAUCCAAAAAAGAAAAAAGACGGGAUAAUUCUAUGAGGUAAGCCCGGUUCCAUUUAGCUCCAUGUGGUUUGGACUAAAACACUAUAGCAUUCUUUGUCGCUGCAGUCAACUGUUAGAUGCCUUUCAAUUUAAGAAAAUUUUGAGCAUGCGAUAACUUGUUAGAAACAUUGUAAAUAAGAUUUAUCUACUAAAUUUUAUUAAUUCCACCUAUUUACUAUAUUUUAGUGAGCACAUUUCUUUCGCACAUCCAGUAUACGAGCAUAUGAAUGGUUAAAGUCCUAACAGGCAAGAAAACAGUAACAUGAGGGCACGAAAGUGUUACAGUCCGAGCCAGGGGUGGUAGAAUGCAUAACAUACCACAAGGGGGUAUUUAAAGUUCUUCCUAAAAUUUGGAAAAGCUGAAGUAUGAAAUAUAUCAAUCGCGAGCUGAAAAUAGAAACAGAGAAGGAAAAGUUGUAGGAUACAAUGAUCUAAUCUCAAGUGAAAAUUAAGCGAACCCUCGAUCAACCUCAGAGCAAAACUAUCACCUCCUUUGAUGUUCUAUUAACGCUGCUUAUCAAAAAUUCUUUUUCUACUCCACUUAAUCUAGACCCUUGAGUUAUUUAAGGUUGGAAAGCUCUCAAAUAUUAACUUAUUAGCUAAACAACUCGAAGCAGAAGCACUUCUGUUUAUGUUCCAGGAGUAAUUACUCAAACACUCCCUACCGUAUGAUUCCCAAUCAAUUCCUACUACUCAAUUCCAGGUUCACGCCUCAUCUAAUUCUUGUGUGAAGAGGACUUUAUAGAAACUCGCUGCUUUUGAACACCAAACUUGCUACUACGAUAACAAAUUAUAAGAACAUGCUCCAAUUCAACUAAGAGCAUGUUUGACCCUUGCUUUGUACUUUUCCGCUUUUAGCAGUAGUCUCUAGAAGAGUGUUUGGUAAAGAGAAAACUCUGCAGCUUCUGCUGCAGCAAGAAGCGAAGAUAAAUAUACUAAUAUGGUGCUUUUCCGAAGAGCAGGACUUGGAAAUCAGCACACGCCAAUCACUCCUAGGAGCGAUCGUGCGAAUGCUACAAGUCAAAUUCGAGAUUAAAAAAAAACAACAGCCCCCAACGAUAUCGCAAUAAACGCCAUUACGAUCAUCAAAUCAGUGAUUAGGGGAAACAAUCAGAGGCAAUUCCCCAAGAUAGAGAUUAGAGACGGGAAUCGAUGGUGGGAGAGAUCAAACCUUGGCGGGAUCGACGAAGGGGAUGGAUCUGAGGAGGCCGAGGACUCGAUCGGUGGCCUCAUGCUUGUCGAGGGCGGAGCUCGCGGCGGCGGCGGCGUGCUGAGCGAAAGCCCUAGAACCCGCGGCGUAGAGGAGGCCUCCUCUUCUACCUCCAUGGGCGCAGAUCGGAGAGGUAGAGGACAACGAUCUCAGGAGAUGGAUCGCGUUCCGAGUCGCCUGCAUCGUACCCUAACACCGCAACCUGAGAGAGAGAGAGAGAGAGAGAGAGAGAGAGGAGGAGGAAGAAGAGGAUCGGGGUGGAGAGAGAGAGAGGGAGCGAGAGAGACUGAGAGAGAGAGAGAGAGAGAGAGAGAGAGAGAGAGAGGUGGGAGAUGGAAUCGUGGCCGUUGAAAAAGUGGCUUGAUCGGUGAUAUCUCACCGUCCAGGAUUUUGUGCGCGGAUGUGUGGAGUUGGUCGAAUCGUAGCCGUUGAAAGAAGAGGCUAUUGCCCUUGAAGCAAUCGACGGUGAGGAUCGCAUCUGAUCAGCUCGAGUCGACUCUCUCGGAACUGAUCGAGCGGAGUCACAGCUCGUACAGUCGCAUCUCCAGCUUCUGUUAUCUAGAAUGUUUAAUAGCAUUGCAUCACGUUGUUGCCAUGCACUAAUCAAAUUUUUCUUUUUCCUUAGUUUAGGAUAAUAAUCAUUUUUUAGUUUUACGAUUAAAUAUUCUAACUAUGAAAGUGCACUCUCAUCACAUGGACUCAACAUUCGUUUAUUACAACACCCCUCAAUAAACAAUUUCCACAGGUGUUGGAUAUGUAGAGUUCUAGGAAUGUACAGCUUUCAAAGGGUGAAUAUAAAGCAUUCUUUUAGCAACAAUGGAACUGCAGAGUCAUGUAGCAAAAGAGCAAACUUGUCCUCAAGCAACAGGAGAGAAUCAGGUAGAGAUAACAGGUUAUGAACUAAAAAAGAACCUUAACAUCUAUACAUGUCAGAAACAAUAGCUGGGGAUAGGUUGAGAAACAAGAAACACUUUUCUUAUUUCUACCCAGUAAAAUGAAACGAGAAAGAUGAAGAUGUUGGAAAUUUGGCAGAUGUUCCACUAUGUAGCCAUGCUGGUAAAACAGAGUACCUUUUAGCUAAUUAAGCUAUAAAGGAAAAAACAAAACAAAACAAAACAAAAAGAAGAUUACAAUCAACAGGGCCUCAGGAUUUCAAUCCUGUCCUGGUUGAAAUGAUUAAUUUUUCAUUUUUAAUCUCCAACACUAUAUCAUCUAAAACUUCAUACAUAGUACAUCAAUUUGCACUAUCAGCAAGGACACAUAAGUAGGACCUUGCUUGAAAGAGAUCCUACAACAACGUGCCUUCUCAGUUAUAACACCUGUGUCUAGUGCAAUUAUCACUUUGCCUACUCUUCAAACUUACCCUCCAAACUAAGAAAAGAAGUUUGUCGAAGCCAAACUUCUUUUGCUGCUCAGGUCUUUCACUUCUCUUAAAACCAUUCAAACAGGGAAAAUCCAUCAGAAAUUAUAAAACUGCAGCAGAACAGGAUUUGAUAAUACAUUUAUAAUGCGCGAAUAAGUGGAAUAUAUACAGAAGAAACAACAAAACUUGGAAGUCACAUUACAUCAUAACACGAUAAACAUACAAAUGUUGGACAAAGAUGGUUAUCGAGAAACUGGUAAUAUUUCCAAAUCGGAUAGAAGCCAUCAGCUUCUUCGAAUUCAAACCACAUAAGAAAUUUUGAUGGUAACUGUUACUUUUGAUUCUACGUUAAUUAAGCGUGCAAAACGGGAGUCGACCAGCAGUUCAUAAAGCAGAGAUCAAAACACAAGAAAGACUCCAUUGCUAUAUGGUAGUUGGUUGUUGCUACUUAGAUACAAACUCAAUGGUUACAAAGCAAGUAGAUAACUUAUUUUGAUGCCUUGUUAGAGUAACUUAUUAGUGGUUGGAGAAUGUUCAUCCUAAUUGACAGAAACAAACAAAGGCAUAGUUUCCUCACAUUCUACUGAAAGAAAACAAAAAAGGAGGGGGCUUCACGCUGCAAUCUUAUAACAGUAAAAGUAAAAUAAUCUAAGCUCUAUAAGAAACAAUAUGUAAUAACAAAGAGCUCACACUGUAAUAACAAAAGGAGCUUGGACUGAGUACGAAGAGUACUACACUUGUCACAUCAUCCAGCCUCCCCCUGCCUAAUAAUUAACGAGGGUACUUGCCAUAAAUUUGCCGUGAUUAAAAGCAAGGACAAAAUGCAGUAACAUUUAAAGGUAGUAACUAGUAAACUUAGUCAAAAUUACCUCUCAUUUUUAACGAGGACACUACAAUAAGAGACAAGAAACCACAGCAUGUUGUACCAUUCCAAUCUUGUAGCAGAAUAUUGCCCCAUAUCCCAAUUGAAUCAUUGAUGCAUCGUCUCAAAAUCUUACAAAAAUUUGUGCAAUAAUUACAGAACUACAUUGCCAAAACAUGCAGAUUCCUACAGAAUUUAAGUCCUCCCCACCCAACAAAAAUGUCUGUUUUAACACUCUGUUCGUAUCUCCUAUCUUCCUGCAACUCGAAAACACAUAAAGAAAACUAGGACAAAAGCGAAAGGGAAAAGUAAUAAUAAAACAAAAGGCUCUAAUUUGAAGAGGAGGAGGAGGAGGAGGAGGAGGAGGCUAAGCCUAAGCCGUAAAAAACGAUGGGAGGGAUCAUAGAGUUGGAAUCGUUAAGGAAGGGUACGACCUGGGGGCGGUCGACGAGGUCUCUGUAGAAGUCGUACUCGGCUUCGUAGUCGUGGAGAUCGAGCUCCGAUUUCUGAUUCGUGUGGUAGUGGUGCUUCACCCCCGCGGAUUUUCCGAACCCAAAGGCGCUCACGCGAUCGCACAUGCCCAGGGCGAGCACGAUCGCCUGGAGCCCCGAGGAGUAGUGGAACAUCUUCGCGUCGUGGGACUCGCCCCAUUGCAGGGGCGAUCGCCGCGACGCCUCCGCGAAGCGCUUCAGGGAGUAGUACAUGGCGAUCCGCGAGCAGAGCGCGUCGAGGCGCGGGUCGGUGAUGAGGAGCGGGGAGGGGUGGGAGGCGUUGCACACCACGUAGUCGAGGAAAUGCUUGGGCUGGCAGAUGUAGGCGACGAUGGGGACGGCGUCGCCGUAGGGGUGGCAGGAGCACUUCUCGCGGCGGGCGCAGAGGUGCAGGAUGUUGCUGUUCACGAACGCGAGCGAGGUCCGGGACCCGACGUCGCGGGCGAAGCCGUGGACGCGCGCGUUGUUGAGCCGGAUCACGAGCUCGUGCCCGUCGAUGAGGUCGCCGCGGCCCGAUCCGAGGAGCACCCCGCUGUUCCCCACCACCGCGCACGACGCGUAGCGCCCGCCGCCGCGGCGGAGGCCGAGGGGCCGCCGCACGAGGCUCAGGAGGUCGGGGAUCGGAGCGGGCGCGGCGCUGCGGAGGCCGAGGCCGAGGCGGAGGNGAGGCGCGCGACGAUGGCGGGGUCGGGGGGGUCCGGGGAGCGGAGGAGCGAGGUGAGGAUGUGGGAGUAGCUGGGGAGGUCGGGGAGGUAGCCGUAGGAGCGGAGGAGGGAGAGGAGGCGGAGGGCGAGCGCGGGGCGCGAGUCGACCGCGGCGGCGGAGAGGAGCGAGUUGAGGAUGAGAGGCGACGGAGGGUCCGAGUACGAGUACCGAUGAGAAGAGGAAGAAGGAGAAGAAGGAUUACCAUUAGGGUUAGGGUUGGGGGUUUGGGGGGAGAGGGAGAGGAGGAGGGAGUGGCGGAGGAGCUGGGAGCGGGAGAGGGAGAGGAGGAGGGAGGAGAAGAGGAGG